rnacentral:lncRNA from 1 species
AGCAAAGCAUCGACUUCAACAGGCUGCAGCCACUGCACAAAGCAAGCAAGCUACACCAAGCUAGGAGCCUAGGAUGGUGACGCUCAUGAGCCUCCAGGCAAGACGGGAGGGGCUGGUGCAGGGCAACGACGACGGCGUCGUCGACCGCAACGCAACCAGCUGGUUCCCCGCGGCGCUGGGGCUUGCAGGCCUCGCCACCGCUUCCUCGGCCAUCACCGCCGCCAUGUCCAAGCCGCCGCCGGCGCUCCAAGGGACGAACGGCUCCUACUACCUCCUCGCCCUCUCGGGGCUCUUCUACGCGGGGAUCGCAGAGCUCGGCGGCGCCGUCUGGGUGAUGGCCGACCCCCGCGCGCGCGCCGCUGUCGGGAGGAGGCUCGUGUACGCGUCCCUCGCCCCGCUGGCGGCGGCAGCCGGCCUGGCGGCGGCCACGCUCUUAUGGUGAAGUUUCUGCCACGCGCCGCGCGCGCAGCAGGUACGUAGUGCGUGCGGUCGGCACCAUUGCCAUUGCCACGCUCUUGUGGCCAGGUAAGUUGGUGAUGACUAAGUUCUUAGUCUCCGUGUGUCCUACGUGUUUCUAUAUCCAUUAUCUGAAAAAAAAACCCGUACGUGUUGCUGUAUUGUUCCAUUCGGCCGUGUGUGAGACGGUGUCCACUGGAGUCGAGUACAGUCAUCAGUAGACUCUGUUCUAUAUAUACGGCAUUCAUCGUAUUCCGUCGUCGUCUCCUUCCAUGUUGUGUACUGCUGCUGCAGAUCAACUGUGUACCUAUUUAAUAUAUAUAUUGAUAAAACAUAUGUGUUGUUGGCUCCUUGUGCUGCAUAAUAUAUACGAAUAUGUGCAACCCUACCAUGUUGUCGUAAAUAAUUAAUUUUCAUGUUAUUCCCUCUAUCACAAAUUACUAUUUAUUUUAACUCUUCUAGAUACAUAAUCACUUUUUAGAUACAUCUAAUAGCAAAAGUUAUCUAUUAAAAAAGUUAAAACGAAUAAUAAUUUAGGACGGAUGGAGUAGCUACUGUUCAAAUUCAAGAGGGAAGGUAAAAAAAAAAGCAAACCUAGACCGUUGAGUGUCGUUGAUUUGAAGGUCCGAUUCAAGAGUUAUGAUUUUUUUUAAUUUUUGAACCCGCUUGUAUGUGGAUGAGGUCACCAACUUUAGGAACUAUUACUCCACUUGAUUAUUUUCCUGCAAAAGUCCAAUAAUCCUCACGCGGCCCACCAAUCAUGCUGCAGGCAAGAGAAAGCUGUCACCUUGUGCGAUCCAUAACCGCACCCCCUCAGGCUGCUCACUCGACUGUGAUACGGCUACAGCAGCGCUGUAUGAUACGUACGAUCAUCCAUGCCAGGCUAAAUACUCCUACUACUUCGUCGAUCAGGUGGCGCGACGACCCGUCCCUGAGACCGAUCAUGUUAAUUAAGCCAGCUUUCAGGCCAUCAUCGUAACACACGAUGCAUCUAAGAAAACGGGGGCUACGAGGUUCCAUUUCGGUUUUUCUUUUAGCUCAUCUUAUUUUUAUUAAUUCUUUCGGGCAUUGCACAUACAUUUCCUCCUCCUUUUAAUUAUUACAGCGUUCUCGUCUAGUCGUCCAUGCAUCGCUUUUGGGCGCGCUUGUUCAGCGCAAGCAUCGAUCAUCUGUUGGGAGUGAUCACUCUGGUUACUUUUCCAGUUGUCGGUUUUUGCUUUCAACUCUUCGAGGUCCCAUCGCAUAGCUACAAUUUCAGCAAAAUGCGUUUGCAGCCCCUUUUUUCUUAAAAAAAAAUGCGUUUGCAUUCUGUCGAAUGCCUAGCUUUCUUGAGUGCCCCCAAUCAGGCCACUGAAAUACAAAUGAAAAACUUGGUCACUUAGCACCAACUAGUAAGCGGAGCUGUCGGAGCAGCAUCAGACGGCGGACCGAGUUCAUCGACUGCGACAAGAAACGGAAGCAGUCGCCUGACAGUUACUAAUAUUUUCGUUGCUUUUAAUACGUACAAAUGAAGAACUGGCGGAUUUCAGUGGUUGGAUAGCGGGAUGGGCAAUGGCAACGCAAGAAUCAGAGGGCACAUCUUCGUAGUAGUAACAUUUGCUACUUGGGCUCACUGCAGUUCAGACAGACAUUUCACAUUAGUAGCCCAGAAUACAACUGUUGUUACUAAAAACAUGAUCGGGCAGUUGGCCCAGAAUUUCAGUUCAGCCCACCAAUUGGCCCAACUAAACUAUGCUAAGCAGCAGCAGAAAAGAGAGAUCAGCAUGUUUAUUUUGUUGGGUGCACUGUUUAUGUAGAUCCACGACCUGCACCUAUUCACAUGCUGAUUUGUCCUUUUUUUUCUUGUCGUUACAUAAACAAAUUCUCAUCCCAAAUUUUACGUGAGCAUUAGAGCAUACUCCCUCCAUACCAUGGAUCGUGCAAUUAUAGGAUUAAAAAAAAUCCUACAAAAUUUGCACUGUUUAUCUAUCUGAAAAAAAGUUAAAAUUUGCACUCUUCAUGGGACGGAAGGAGUACAUCUUUACAUCAUCUGCCAAAAGCAAAGUAGAGUAAGGGCGGGAACUAUGUGGCUUCCAGAAUUUUGUUUGCUACUUGCCUUCCAUUGUUGGAGAUUCGUGCAACCAACUGAGAUUGUGAAUUUGCUUAGGCACAAAGCUAGUUCGCGGGCACGGGUGAAAAUCCAAUGGACAUGUGCCAACAGCUGAGCGGGGGAGACGGAUGGAAAUCUAAUCUGAGUUUCAAACUUCAAACGCGAUUUUCUCUUAGACCGUCUAUCCGUUUUGAAAUCCAUUUGAACCACCAUGUUAUUUUGAAUUAUGCAAAAAAACAAGAUCCAAUAUGAGUAUACUUUCAUUUUUUAAUAUAUUUUUAAAAAUCAACAUUCAGGUUGUACUAUUUCAACAUUUUGAACAACUACUUGAACAUUUUAAACAUACUGCUUCAACAUUUUCACACCAAAUGUUGAUCUAGUUUAUUCGAAUUGUUGAACUAAGUUUGAGAAAAUGUUGAACAUAGUACUUUAAAAUGUUGAGGCGACUUGUAUUUUGACGUCAGAAUAGAAAAUCGAAUAUCUAUUGAAGCACGGAUUGGUAGCAGAAAAUAAAAAAAUAAUCCGCACCGUAGUUUCUGUUGAAACGAAAUAGCAAGGAACGCACUACCGCAGUUGGAACGUACUUAACUAGCUUCCGCUAGCAAGAUAGGAGGCCCCGAGUAAGGGAGCUAGCACUUCCGGAGAUGAAACCAAAGGUUGCGUAUUGGGCCGUCGCAUUGAGCCGUCACGCACACACGCACGCACGCACUGCAGACAACCAUUUCACAUUUGUAGCCCAGAAUACAAAUGUCAUCGGCCGGAACAGCUAAUUUCGAGCCCAGAAUUUUUGCCGCCCACAACAAUUUCGGAGGCGGACGGCUCGGCCCGGCCUCGUCGUCGCGUCCGUCCGCGGCCAUGACCUGGGCGGCACGCGCGGGUUCGACUCAGAGUUCUAGUUUAUUCGAAUUGUUGAAUUGUAGUGCUUCGAAGAAACUCGAUCCACAUAGCGGGUUUAUUAGAAACCCAUCCGCGUCAGUGUCAACCUCAACCUCCUCCCUUUUCUUCGGUGUCCAUCGGUGCUGCUCAUUCCACCGGGGCUCCGUUCAUUGUCGAGGGGCGUGGGCCCGCCUGUGAUGGUUCAGUCGGGCAGCACGGCUGCAAGAGGCAACCAGUAGUAUAAAUACCAUUGCCACCACGCUCCGUAUUGCAAGCCUCCCCCUUCAUUGAUUUCAGUUUUCAGGACAGGAAGCGGCGCCGGUGCUGGGCUUGAGCAGCAUCGGCUUCAAGAUGGCACCGGGCACGGCCAACAACGGGCGUGCAGGGGAGGCCGCUGGCGGGACGCCAAAGCUUCACCGGGAAGCCUUUGGCCGCGGCCUGCUCGGCCUCGCCGCCGCCUCCACCGCCAUAACCAUGGCCGUGCGCGAGCCGCCCCCGGGGCUCAACAAGACCGCCUACUUGCUCGCGCUGUCGGGUGCUUUCUUUGCAGGGGUGACCCAGGUGUCAGCCUCCGUCUGGGCCUCCGACGGUCCCGUCGGCCGGCGUCACGGCGCCGGGAGGAAGAAGAUCGUGUACGCCUCACUCGUCGUGUCCGCCGGCCUCGCGGUGGCCUCGCUGCUCCAGUGACUUGAGCCGCCACGGUUGUCGGCGUCUCGCUUGAGCUGGAUUUAUUUGAUGCGAGUGUCAGAGUGUGGAUGCCUUGCAUGGUCCCUGUUAUUGUCCGCUGCGUGGUUCAGUAAGCAGCGUGGCUGUAUGUGUUCUUCGGUUGUUCCAUUCCACGUAUUUUAGUUGGGUCUCUGUCAUGCUAGUCUCGGUUUAUACUAUUCCAAUUGCCGAAUGAGUUCUAGAGUCCAGUGUAUCACCCAUCUUGUUGCACUAAAGUACUGUAAAAUUCGUUAUUUGCCCUGUUACUGGACUACUGGUCCAAACACGAGUCACUACAUUUUCUCGACCUAGCUUGCUCACCGUCAAGUUCUGCAACUUCGCGGGAGAGAUAAUCCAGUCUUAGUUUUUUAUUCAUUUUUGCUUUCCUCUUGAGAAAUAACCAGGUCUAUCCCCAAAAUUGUACUAUUCAUUAUCUAAAAGAAUCCCUAAAAAUAUAAGUGCUCAGAUAUAAAAAAAAUGCGAACGGAGCAUAUGUAGAGCAUAAAUUAUACCACAUGUUCAUUAACUCUCAUCUCUAUGAACAUAAACGUCAUGAAGAUGCAGUGAGAGUAACCGACUGCUUUUGGGAAGUUUGUACGUGGCUGAACAAAUUUGACAUCAUUUUCUUUCAUUGUGCUGUAAAUUCCUAAACUUGCUUAGGGUGUGUUUGAUACCCUUGCUGGCUACUGUGUUGCCUAACUUGGUAAGGAUAGACGCCGGACGUUUGGUCAGCUAGCUAGCUGUCUCGGAGCUUGAGCUUUCAAGCUUUUUUCAUGCCAAGCUGAGCGAGCCAAAACAACUCUCCUGCGCCGGCAAGCUUUGCCUUGCCGAGCUAGGCGAGGCGAGCUGAAGAAGCAAAACUACCAAAUGUUGGCGUUAUUCUACGAAAGGAACUGUUACAGCUACAAUGUUGCGCAAAUGCUAACCUGCGCUCUGUUGUAAACCUGACGCUAACGAAAUCGUUGGCAUUAUGCUUGAUGUACGCUAUGUUGCAGUCGGAUUGCAUUGUCUUCUGGCUUGUCGACGAUCAGAAAGAUGAGUGACUGCAAUCACAUAGAAAUAUAGUGAAGGGAUGCUGCGAAAUGGGCUGCUGUUGGACUGCUGAAGAAGAAAACGAACGAUGCCUAUGCCCUGCAAGCUCAUCUUUCCCGAUGGAUCUUUCAGCCACUUAAACUGAUCCGGCACAAACAAGUUUGUGGUUUCUGAGCGCCAUCGUGUGAUCGGGGAAUUUAAUAAUGCGUGUGUGCAAAUCGGAAUGCUGAAUGCUAUGUGUAAUUCUUCAAAGCCGGUGGAGAAGUUGGUAAGAAAACUCUCCCAAAAAGGCACUUAAACUCACGCCGAGGUCCGUUACUCCACGUUAGAUGCCCCAACGCCAAGCCUUGCCACGUCAUCUCCAGCGUGGACACGUUCGUCGCGCUAGCCCUAGGGCUCGGCGUUGGGUUCGUUAAUUUAUAUUUAUGAUGAUGUAACAUAUUCUAUGUCGAUCAUUCGGUUGUACACUAGAUUGUAGAUUGUUAGAGUGAAAUUAGCGGAAACCAAAAGUUUAAAGAACUAGCGGGAAAUAGUACCGGCAAAAUUUUAAAAAAAUGCCCGAUUUUUUUUUUGGUGGGAAUGACAUUUUCAGGGUAGGCCAUGCCGUCAUCCACACUUGAAAAAUAAUUUACAAAGACGGGUCAUGGUGUCAUCCAUCCGUGAAGAUAAACAUUUCUAAGGAUGGAUGAUGACGUGGCCCGACUUCAUAGGGGCGGACAGUAAGUACUUACUCUUGCAAAUGGCUAUUUGUUUUUUUUUAGGGGUCGGAGGGGGGGGGGGAGUGCCCCACCUGAUUUCAUUAUAGGGGCCGAAGGGGCCAAAUGCCAGUACUUUAGAUCUUAAGCAAUAAAACGAGGCGGGGGAGGGAGGGAGAUUACAUUAGUUUACAUUGAACUAAAGAGUAAACACCAGGCAUCCGCUAUCCGACGAUCCUCGACCUUUAGUCGGUGGCUCCAUAGCCGGGCUUCGUCGCGGCAUGCAAGCCAGAAGCGCCCGACUGACGGGGUAAUGUUCUGGAAAACAAGCUCAUUACGGGAUUUCCAUAGCAACCAACAGACGAGAAGGAUGAAACUGGAGUAGUGGCGGCUCGGCACCGUCAUGGGGCGGGGGAUGUUCCACAGACAGCGAACCAAAACCCCAGUUGUAUCGGCGGGCAGUGCCGACCAGACUUGAGCAGCAAAGCGACAGCGAAGGAUCAGAUGGUCACAAUCUUCUGGCUGGCCACACAGCGCACACGCCGGGUCAGCGAGGAUGUGCUUCUUGACAAGAUUUGCACGGCAGCUGAUCCGUUCCUGAACCAUCAGCCAGGCGAAGAACUGCACGCGAGGGGGUGCUCGGUUGGACCAAACAAAUUUGGCAAAGGUGCAGGUAGGAGGGCCGGUUGCUUCCAUGAUCUUAUUGUAGGCAGCACCAGACUGAAAGGACACAUUUGGCGGGGCGAAAGCGCUAUGCCGUUGGUCUUCGGCACUGCCCAGGGCAAUAUGGCCAAUCUUCAGGUUCAGGUCGUCUAAUUCAGCAGCAGCCGCAUGGGUCAGCCUGGGCAUUAGGUGUCUGUGGAUCCCGUCGGCAAUGACCUGCGACACCGAGGCUUCCGGUUGUGUAGUGUGGGAGUACAGAGCAGGAUAUAGUGCAGCCAGCCGGCCAACCGAUAGCCAUUUGUCCUGCCAGAAGCUCGUGCUCUCGCCAUUGCCAACUUCAAAGCUCGUGACAGUACGGUAUAGCGGUAGCAUGCUGCCCAGAGCUGCCCAAUGUACCCCUUCCAGGGAUCCUUGUAGCGAGGCUAGAUUAAUCCGCUUGCGUACCCACCACGCCCAGGAGGACUCCCCCGGUCGGAAGAUGCGGUGUAGAAGCUUCAGCAACAAACUUUGGUUCUUCGUGCCAAGCUCCUUGAUGCCUAGCCCCCCUUGCUUUUUCGGCUGGCAGGCAUGUUCCCAGGCGACAAGACAUUGAGCACCACUGACCGUAUCCUCUCCAGCCCAAAGAAAACUGCGUCGUCGAUGGUUUAGAGCAUCCACCACGCUAGGGGGGAGGAGGAGAACGGACAUUGCAUACGUCAACUGGCUAUCCAUGACACUGUUUAUCAGCACAGCUCGCCCUGUGGAGUUGAGGAGGCAGGCGCGCCAUCCACUGAGCCGUCGGUCUGCCCGGGCAAUCAGAGGGGUGAAGGCCGAGAGUUUGAGCUUCUCAUUUGAUAAGGGGAGUCCCAAGUAAGAUUGAGGGAAAGAACCGAGCUGGCAGCCAAGGACCUGCUGCAAGGUAGUUACCUGAUGUUGACAGUUACCUGAUGUGUGUCAACGUUUAAAGGAACCAUGGUGCUUUUGCUAAAGUUUAUGUGCGGCCUAGUGAGAUCAGAGAAGAGUUCCAGCACUUGCUUCAGGGCCAUCACACUAUCCUGGUCGGCCUGCAGGAGGAUCAAUGUGUUGUCCGCAUACUGUAACACCGGGCACGGUUGGUCAGAGCUGGCGGGGUGGAGUAUUCUGCGGUCUUGCUUGAUCAUUUGCUGGAGCACAUCUGAAACGAGCAGGAAUAGGUAAGGAGACAGUGGAUCACCCUGUCGAAGACCGCGUUUGCAGGGAAACCAUGGCCCAGGCACCCCAUUCAUCAGUACCGCGAGUUUGGAGCUGUGCAGCAACGAGAGAGUCCACGCAGUCCAUUGCGUAGGGAACCCAUGAGCGGCGAGAACGGCAGCCAGGCAGCGCCAAUCGACUGAGUCAAAUGCUUUUGCAAAGUCCAGCUUCAGGACCUCAGUAGGCAGUCUUCGUCUAUGGCAGCACUGGACCAACUCAGUUGCAUAGAUGAAAUUUUCAGAGAUCGAGCGCCCCUUGAUGAAGCUUGUUUGGUCCGGGUCAACCAGCUUGGAGAUCUGACAUUGGAGCCGUGAAAUCAUCAUUUUGGAGACGAUAUUGAGGGAGCAAUUCUGCAAGCAGAUCGGCCUGUAGUUGCCCGGCGACAUCGCUGCCGCAUGCUUCGGUAUCAUGACAAUAUAGGCACGAUUGAUACGCUCGAGCUCGACCGUCCCCUCCUGGAACGCCUGCGCAAGCGCCAUCACCGCGUGACGUACCGUGUCCCAAGCCGCGGCAUAGAAGGAGGGGCCGAACCCGUCGGGGCCCGGUGAGCUUGUCCUGUUCAUCGCGCGGACAGCUGCUCGCGCUUCGUUUUCGGUGAAGGGGGCAAGGAGCGGGGCGCUCGCCGCGCGCGGCAAGCCUGAGUACAAGGAUGCAAGGUCGACCCCGCUUAGAUUCACCGCGCGCUCGGCGAGCAAGCUCCGGAGGUGUACCGUGAGAGCCAUCAUCUUCUCCUGGUGCGAGCUCAGCACCACUCCAUUGAUGUUUAGGGCACGGAUGUUAUUCCGGCGCAGCCAGAGGGUGGCCUGCGCGUGGAAAAACCGCGUGUCGCGUCGCCUUCCCACAUCGCGCGGAACUUGCCCGCGUUGUUUCCAGAACGCAGCCCGUUUCGCGCAGCACCAGUGCAAGCCUGUCUUGGCACGCCCGACGCAGCAGCGCUUCGCCUGGAGAAAGACAGCGAAAGUCUUCGAGCACAUCAAGCAGAAAAAUGACGAAUUUGCAGUUGGAGGGUAGAGCGGGGGGGGGGGGACGCUUACAUCGCGCCCAAGGCUUAGACGCACAGCGGACUGCCUUGAGCGCACGAGCAAUCGCGCCAGCCGCAUCAGAGUCGCCGUUCGGAGCCCAAGCUGGCAGGAUGGUAGGGAGGUAGUUUAUAUCCUGAAGCUAGGAGUUUUCAAAACGGAAGACGUUGGCUUUUGGGAUAGAGGUGGACAUUUGGAGGAGGAGAGGGGUGUGAUCAGAGGUGGUUUUUGGUAAGGAACACAGGGAGGAGUUCGGGAAGGUUGUGUUCAUCGCUAGGUUGAAGAGAGCGCGGUCAAGGCGGGUGAGCGUAGGAGAAUCGCGGUGAUUGGACCAGGUGAAAAGGCGGUCCAGGAGAGGCAGGUCAAGGAGGGAGAGCGCGUCGAUAGUAGCGUUGAAGGCAUCGCAGAGGCCGGGAUGGGAGGAGCCAUUGCUGUUUUCUUGGUCACUCCUGGUUAGGUUGAAGUCGCCCACCAACGCCCAGCUCCCCGAGAUGUGCUGGGCGAGUUCAUGCAGGUCUUCAAGGAAGGACAGAGAGUCGCGAUGGUCCGCGGGAGCAUAGACGUUAGUAACCGCGAAGGAGUAGUUGGAGGCCGUGGAGGAAAGGAAAGUAGUAAGAGUAUGACGUCGAGCGAUGAAAGAAUCAGCAGUGAACAUCGCCGGAUCCCAUGCAGUGAUAAUCCCACCACGCGUGUCCGAAGCGUCGACACAGCGGAAGGCGGUGAUGGCUGGAGGCAGGAAGGAGCGAGCCUUGAGGCCAUCCAGGACACGCAGCUUGGAUUCCUGCAGACAAACAAUGCUAGGAUGCGAGGAGGAAAUGGAGUCUUUAACAAUCGUGCACUUGUGCGGAUCUCCGAGGCCACGAACAUUCCAGGAUAGAAGGGAAAAGGAACUAAAAUUAAGAUUCAUAGGUACGAUUACAACACCAGAGCAAGAGCAGGAGAACAUCCAUUAGAGGCACAAGACAAGGAGCUAAGACACUGAAGGACCAGACACUAGACCCACGACGAAGAAGCAACAGACACACACAGGCGGACAGGUAACUGACGUUUCUGCAAAGAGUGGGCAAACAGCAGAAACAAUUGCAAGCCUUCCGGAGCUCAGGCAUUAGGGGCGUCAAGCACCUUGUUCAGCUGAGCAGCAGCGUCGCUUUCACCGGAGGACGUCGCACUAUCGCUUCAACGGCAGACGAUGACGUAAGUCGUCGACAUCGUGAACACGCAAGUCAGUCAAGAUGAGAGAUUCCAGGAGGAGAGAGACGUGGCCGGUGGCCCCACCUGUCGGAGAGACAUCGAUGAUGCGCGUUCGCGUGGUCGACUGGCGUCUGCUUGCGCGGUGAUGGUGGCGUUGGAUUUUUAGCUUGGCCCCACCUGUCAUACAGACGCCGAUCAUCGGCGUUUCGCUCGCAAGUCGGAAGGAUAUAUGGAGACGUCGCUUGCCCGGAUAAUGGAGUCGACGUAGAUAUUAGCUUGUGCCAGGGCCAGAACUGGAACUGAAAUAAUGGUGAUCGCUCCACCGGCCGGAUGGAGACCUCGGAAGAUUCGUGCGCGUUGGGUAAGUUGCUUCCACGUCAUGGCGUGGUGGGCUCGCUACCCUCGUUAAUCUUCGCAGUUAGCUAGAGCACCUGUCCUGCAGCACACUCUUCUAUCUCCAGUCGCCAGCCGCGCCCCUCCUCUCCAUCGCCUCGGCGCCGCUCGCUCGGACUGGAUCGGAGAUGGCUCUCGGAAGAACCUGGUGCGAAGAGGAGGCCGCCGCCGGCGCUGCAUCAAUGCUUCGUGUUCACGACGCCAUGAUCUCCAAGGUUAAUGGAGGGCGAUCAUGCUGUUGACUCGUGACAAAUCGACUGAAAAUCUUGUGUUUCUCGAGUUUUUUUUAGCGGACGACGAGCCUAGUGGAUAAUGCGAGUGCAGGAACUAAACGAGAAUGUCGGGGGGGGGGGGGGGGGGGGGGGGGCUAAAAAAAAAAAAAAAAAAGGGGGACCAAAAAAAAAAAAAAAAAAAAAACAUCAAAGGCAUUGUUGGCCUUGGGCCCCCCUCCCGGGGCUGGGCCGGUAAGCCUCCUACUCUGCCGGCCUUCUCACUCUCAAUCUACGACUAUUCAUCUUCACGGGCGGACUCGCUUCUGCAGCCCUCCUCCUCAACUGGGGCAUCGCCGCCGCCCCCUCCGCCGCCGCCAUGAUGCUCCUCCGACGGCACCUCCUCCCUUUCCUCCGCGCACCCACCCCGCUCCCCUCCCCUAUGCACCAUCGCGCCCGCCUCCUCGCCACCUCCCCCGCCCCAUUCUCCCUCGAGGAGUACCUCGUCGCCGCCUGCGGCCUCGCCCCAGCUCAAGCCCGCAAGACGGCGAAGAAGGCGUUCGAUGAAUCAUCCAAACCAAGGAAGAAGGCAUUCGAGGACCUCUCCUGGUCCCGCCUCAACUCCGCCUCCAACCCCCAGGCCAUUCUUGCCCUGCUCUCUGGCGUCGGCCUCUCCCACGCCGACAUCACCGCCGUCGUCGCUGCGGACCCGCUGCUCCUCCGGUCAUCGCCCAAGAACAUCGGCCCCCGCCUCCUCGAUCUCCGCGACCGCCUCGGUCUGUCCACUCCCCAAAUCGUUUCCUUCCUCCUGGUCGGCUCACGCUCUCUCCGGAACUGCGACGUCGGUCCAAGGCUCGAGUUCUUCAUCUCCCUCCACGGCUCAUUCGAAAAGUUCAUCCACGUUAUGAAGAAGGGAAGCAGCAUCCUAUGGUCGGAUCUUGAAAGGGUGAUCAAGCCUAACAUCGUGCUUCUUCAUCAGUGCGGCCUAAGUGUUGGAGAUAUUGCCCAGCUGUGCUCAGUCAGAAGGAGUGUGCUUACCUUCAGCCCAGAGCGCGUCAAGGAGGUAGUGCUGCGUGCGGAAGAGCUUGGGGUGCCUCGCAGCUCGCGAAUGUUCUGGCGCGCGGUGUUGGUUGUCGCAAAUAACACCAAAGAGAACAUUGCUGCCAGGCUCAAUUUUUUGAAGAGUACUCUUGGUUGCUGCGAGAGUAAAGUUUCCACAACAGUGUCCAAGUUGCCAAGCAUUGUAGGACUAUCUGAGGAGUGCCUUCAACGCAAGAUUGCGUUCCUGAUCAAUGAGGUUGGACUGAAGCCGCAGUACAUUGUUGAAAGGCCCGUCCUAUUUACAUUAAGCCUGGAGAAGCGAAUGAUACCCCGGCAUUGUGUCAUGAAGGUCCUGCAGGAAAAGGGAUUGCUAAAUAGCAAUAUGAGCUUUUUCUCAUUAGCUAAACUUGGAGAGAAGGCUUUCAAAUUGAGGUUCAUCGACUGUCACAAGGAUUCUCUUCCUGGGCUUGCAGAUUUUUAUGCUGCUGCUUGUGCUGGUGUUGUGCCCUCUAAAAUCUAAUUCUAACAUCUUGAAAUGUUCAAAUCUGUUUUGUAUUUUAGACGGAUGGUGACUCAACUCAUGCUUAUUGGCAGCAGUCCUUGGUGUUCUGGUUUCUGCAAUAGAAACACCAAUGAUCUUGGACUACUCAGAGACCAAGUUUGUCUUAUGGUUUCUACUUACAGCCUGGAGAGGAGGCUAGUGGCCGGCAUUGUAUCAGAAAGGUCCUGCAGGCAAAGGGAUGCUGAAUAGCAAUGUGGGCUUUUAGUCUUUUACACAACAGCUCAAAUCGGGGGGUAGACUUUCAAAUGGAAGUUCAGCGACUGUCACAACUCACAAGGACUCUGUUCCUGGUCUUGUGGAUGCUUAUGCCGCAGCCUGUGCUGGUGUUGUGCCUUCUGGAGUCUAAUUUCAACAUCUUGAAAUGUUUAAGUCCGUUUUUUUUAGUUUCUAGAUGAAUUGUAGAAGUGCAACUCAUGCUCAAUAGCAUCUAUCCACGGUGCAGGCUUGCUCAAUUCUUGGUCUCUGCUUAGAAUCACUAGUGAUCUCUGACUAUCAUAGUCCAUGUUUGUGUUAAGGUUAUCUAUGAAGGAAGUGGUUUGACUAAUUCUGGCGCCCUACUGAGCAUGUUUUUUUUAUGUCAGUUCUUCUGCCUAGCACAUGGCUGAAGAUUUUUAACUUAGUUGUUCUUCUGCAGAUAGGUCCUUGAAAGAAAGCACUCAAGCUAAUAUAUAGAACUUUCUAGUCUAAAUAAAUGGCAGCGGUAUUCUGUAUCUUUUCUGUAGCCAUGGGACUUCCUGUAAAUCUAAGCAAGACCUUCAAAUCAGUAGCUACUUUGCAAUUUUCAAACAUUUUGUUUGUUGUGGACUCUUUCAUUAGGAAGGUGUACAGCAGGAGGAAGAAGGCGCCAUCUAGUGGCUGAUGUGGUGCCUAAUUCCUAUGUUUUAUGGCUGGGUCAGUAGUUAGUUGGAUCAUGGCUGGGUUAGUAGUUAGUUGGAUCAGGAUACAAAUAAGAUCAGAUAGAGAUGAGAUAAGAUCAUAAUAGUUGAGAGUUUGUUAUGGCCGGCCUUCUUAUAAGCCAAGGCCACAACAGGAGAUUAGGUAGGUAGAAAUAGAUCCUAGCACUCAGAGCCUCCCAGGGAGGGCGAGUAGGGUUUCUAUCCUACCAUUGUAGCCUGUCUACUGAUCAAUAAAGCUCUUGUGUUCCCCAUUCCCUGUUGCUUAUCAUUGUUCUUCAGAAUUUCCACUGGGUAGCGAGAAGCAUUUUCUAUAUGCUUUAUUUUCACAAGAAAUAAAACCAGGUCCGUAUAGAAAUCCAGAUUUCUGAAGCUUACAUUAGGCAUCAUGUUGAGCCGAAGCAUGUUUUUGUAGCUAAGUUCUUGAGGUUCGUGAGGUUGGAAACUUGGAAUGGUUGAGAUUGUUUCGUCGCAAUUCAGUGGUUUAGUCUGCAACUUUCAGAUGGCCCUGGGCUUGUCCGAUUGUAAAUAUGCCACAAAUAAAACACGCCCAUUAACCUGCCUGGAGUUACAUAUCUAUGAAUACAUACUUCAUGAAGAUGUUGCAGCUAGAGUAGUGAACUGCUUUAAGUCUACUAUGUACUGUAUGUGUUGUUCUCAGCUGCGUGGGUCAGGUACUCAGGUCAGGUCAAUAAGCAGCUGCAUGCAUGUGUCGUUUCCUGCUUCUGGCUUGUUAUUUUGUUAUCUUGUGUUCACUUGUGCGUCUGUCAUAUAUACGUCUAAGAGUUAUAUACAAGUCUUUUUUCCCCCAUUCAUGAAAAGGAAAAGAGUUCUUUACGGUCGUUUUGUACUCCAUUCAUCAUUGUUAAUGGAAAAGAUGGUGCUGGUGGAUGAUGGUGUCAAUGAUAGGAUGUAUGUACAUUAUCUCACCACAAUCCACUUACUGUUAUUCUCAUUUGGUUAAUUAUUUCUAUAAUUGAUUUGUACAUUUUUUUAUAUUUACUCCAAUAUAUCGUAGUUAUGGCAUUUACUCGCUCUCAUCCACUUUUUCCCGUUUUAUGUAGGCCAUGCUUCAUUCAUUAUAUUCCAAAGUACAUAGAGGUCUUGACAGUUGCAGUCAAAUUGCAAUUUAUUGGCCAGUCAGAGAUGGCAAUGGAUUUAUUUGAUGCAUUAUGUGUUGGCCAACCUUGUGCUUGUUGGAGACAUUUUGUUGAAUCUGACUUCGUGGCAUGUUCACUAUUAUUAUAACAUUGUGGUGUUUCCCUUUUCAUCAAUUUGAUCAAUGGCACAAUGAGUUUCAUUUCCACCCAUUAUUUUUAUCCAAUGUUCUUUUGAAUCCCUUUUGUAACAAUUUAAUGUUAUGUUACUAUCUGCCAAUUCACAGGGAUCCAUACUUGAUGGGUCAUUCGAUAUCAUGGACCCCUCCAUACGUGAACAAUUUUUGGUCGGCUAUGAUGUCCCCCACUGCAAGAUGGUCAGUCCUCAGCUCAAUAAUAUUUCUUAUUAUAUGCAUCUAAAUUUCUUACUUUUACCAUAUUAAUGCUUAGCAUGCUCACGGUUCCUUUCCAUAACUCAUUCAUUUUCUAUAUAAGCUGUGAUGAUUUGAACAAAUUUUUGUAUACAGCUAUUCUUCCCUAGUUUGGUGGAGCACCGGUGGGUUGUCUAUGUUUGGAGCUGUGAAGAUAAUGUGAUUAUAAUGCGUAAGCUUUACACCAGCAUUCCAUGUGCAUGUGGUUAAGUUGCUUAAGAGUGCAUCGCGGGAGGUUGCUUUCAAACUUUUUGAUGGAUGGGAGCAAGAUUGGGAAUCAACUAAUUAAAAGUUGUUGAAAUUCACUGACAACACAAUAUCUUGGUAUGAAAUAGGGUAUUUAUUAUCAUCACUGUCUUGAUUGGAAACCAUGUCAUAACAACUACACAUUAUUAUUACAUGUUUUUCCAACAGUUUGUACAUUAAUGUAUUUAUCUUGAUGUUGAUCUGGCAUAUUUUGCAGUCUGAAUCGCACCGGCGUAUUGUGUGCUCAUUUCUGUCGCAGCUUUGAUGGUAAAAGCACAUUUGUGAGGCAUCACAAUGUAAGCUAUGAUGGAAUGCCCUUUCAUUAUAUGUUCUUUUCGUACGCCAGUUCGUUAGUAAUCGUGAUGCUAAAAACUUGUGUUUCCACAAGCCUUCAAAUCUCAAUAACCAUUUUUUUCUUCAGUUCAGAUUACAGUAUUAAUUUUAGUAACCAUAAAGGUGUGUAUGCCAAUCGCACAGGUUGACACUGAACGCACUGCUGGUAUGCUUCUAGCGGAGGUCCUCAAGCUGUCCGAUAAUUAUGGGAAGGAAAAAGUCUAUAUAACACCUAAUGUAUUGAUGGUAGACUACAUAACCCCCUCAACUAGAGAACCAGGUAUUGUGGGUAUUGUGACCUUUAAAGUAUCUAAAACCGUUCAAAUCACCCCCUGAAGUGGUUUUCUAAGGGGGUGUUUGGAUACCUCGUGUUAAACUUUAGCACCUGUCACAUUGGAUGUUUGAUACUAAUUAGGAGUAUUAAAUAUAGUCUAAUUACAAAACUAAUUGCACAGAUGGAGUCUAAUUUACGAGAUGAAUCUAUUAAACCUAAUUAGGGACUGUUUGGUUCCAGGCUCCUAAAANNNNNNNNNNNNNNNNNNNNNNNNNNNNNNNNNNNNNNNNNNNNNNNNNNNNNNNNNNNNNNNNNNNNNNNNNNNNNNNNNNNNNNNNNNNNNNNNNNNNAAAAUAGUAAGAGAAGACAAAACGAAUAAAAUAUUGUAUAUGGCUAUGGUAUUUUAAAGGAAAGGUAGUAGGGAUAAUUUAGGAGGAUUCUAUAGGCGAUGACGGCGGUCGAUGAGGAGGGACGCCGCCGGUGGGGGCCAGGCGAGGAGGGACGCCGGCGGCAGGCGGUACGGUGGCGAGGGGUUGGGCAGGAGGGAGGGUAGGAGAGAGAGGGGGGGGCAAUAAAUGAGGGGCAAUGGGGAUCCAGGAUGGGCUUUAGAAGGGUGUGGAGUUCCUAAAGGAAUUAAAGCCUCCUAAAAGUUUAGUCAUAGUGUUUGGCUCUUUAGUCCCUUUUUAGUUACUUUUUAGGAACUAAAAUUUUAGGAGGUGGGAACCAAACACCCCCUUAGUCCAUGAUUUGACAAUGUGGUGCUACAGUAACUAUUUGCUAAUGAUGAAUUAAUUAGUCUUAAUAGAUUCAUCUCGCGAAUUAGAUUCCAUCGGUGCAAUUAGUUUUGUAAUUAGCUCAUAUUCAAUCCUUCUAAUUAACAUUCAUCCUUCUAAUUAGCAUUGAAUGUGCAUCCGAACAAUGUGCCCUGCGUAGCACCCUAAAGCAGUUUUGCCAGCCACGCUGACACGGUUAGCCAAGUUGGCAUGUCGGCCCAGAUGUAAGUGGUGCAUUUAUUUUCUUUUCAGUUUUAACCCCCUCGUCACCGUUCCCCAAUCUCUCUCUUCCUGCUCUCUCGUGAAGUCGUCAUCCGCGCUGCCUGCGCCAUCUCCGCCGCCUCCACCGGGGCCGCUAUCGCCAUCUCCGCUGCCUCCACGAGGGCCGCCGAACAGAAGCUUCCUAUCAUCCGCGCGCCCGGGGAGCGAUGUGAAGAAGGACGGCGGUGCCGCAUCGGAUGGGUGGAAUACGGCUGGGCUUGGCACAUCCAGAUCAAGAGAUGCGGCAGGGGCCGCGGGCCUGGCACGAGUUGCUUGAGGAGUAGGAAUGCCGGCGUCGGCGAGGCGUCCCGGAAGGAGGUGACGAGCCGAGAUUUUUGCCUUUCGUGAAUCCGUCCGCCGCCAAAGGUCCUGGUCCUGCCGCCAUGUCCCACCACCCUGUGCGGCUGCUCUUUCUGAGCGGCUGCUCUUUCUGCUGGUGUUCUUCACACUGCUGCUCAUCAGGAUUUGGGCACGACACAAGCUCGCUUACUACCGUUAUAUCUUCGUUGCCGGCGAGGUUGCAUUGGCCGAGGUCCGUGUGGCAAAGGAUACAUAAGCUUAGCCUGUUUGGUUUCUCCUGCUUAUGCAUACUUAAAAAUAAGCAAAUAAGUUGCUUAUGAACCAAUCAGUCUUGCUUAUAGAGUUGCUUAUGGGGUUGCUUCUUAUAAGCAAAUAAGCAACACAAGAGCUGCUUAUUUUGCUUAUGAGAUGCUCUUUACCCUCCUAUCCUUAUUUACUCCCCCUUCUCUCUCCCCCGUCCGCACUCUCUCCCCAGAUCCGCACGCCGGACCGCCGCUCGCGCCCCACCGCUGCCGCCGGCCUCGGGGCGCCGCUCGCGCCCCGCCGCCGCCGCCGGCCUCCGCGCGCCGCUCCCGCCCCGGACCGCCACUCCCACAUUUACUAAAAUACAGUUUAGUAAGGAAGAUGUUGCUCGUGUGUUUCGUAUUCCCAGCCAUGGCUUGAGUGUAGCCGAAAAUGGAAUGUCCCGAGCAUCACGGGAUGUACUCUAUUCCUGCAGGUAUACAAUUAUAUCUCGUACAAUACAGUGCUCGUCCCAUUCUAUCUUUAUUGUUAUACCAUUUUGUUGAUUUCUCUAUACCUAUUUUGUUAUCAGGGCCUGUACCUUGAUAGCAUAUGGAAUACGGACCACAACAUACUCCCAUGUAUCCAGCCAUUUAAUGAUGGAACAAUGAAAUCUAUGAUUCUUGGUGAUACUCUUUCCGGUCCCGAUGAAUCUGAUUUUGGUAAUAGCAAGGUCAGAUUCGUUGUUUGCACGUUUGAUAUUCUUAUUUUGUUCUUCUAUUCUAUAUAUUUGUGCAAUUAGUAGCUUGUUUUGAAGUAUUCAACUUGAACUUAUUAUUGCUUUCUACUCUGCAAAUUUAGCUGCGGGCACCAUCUGGUUUAUGUUACCACUGGGCAGCUGUUCAGGACUCCAAUGGCACUGGCCAUCCUAUGUCUCAGCAGAUGGCUUUGUGUGAGGCAACUACAUCGAUCCUCGGCACAUGCUCUGAGAGUCCCUGUGACAUCCUCCGCAUCAGAGCCUUUUGAUGUCCAAACAGCUAGUGAAACUUCCGUUAGCUGUUCCGCUAAGCGACAGCUAUGUUCUGAUAUGAAGGGUGUCUCUCUGGUUGACCAACCAGAUCCAGUUGGCAAAAAAGCCCGUUUCAGCUGUUGUACAGAGCACAAUGGUCAUCAGGAUAGCGCAUCUUGCCAAGCAUCAACUGACCGCCAUAACAUGAUGUCAUCGUCCACGAUAGACUUAUCAAAGCAGAUUGAUCCCAUUUUUUCCAAUGCUUUGAGCACCCAUUGUAUGAUCACGAAAGCAAUGCCUACAUUAUACUUGGGUGCUCAUCAUUCCAAGUUGUGGUUCUAUAGAUCUCAAUGUCACAUUGCAGUCACUGACUAUGCUCCUAGAAAGGUUGUCCCGCUUAUCAUAGAUUCCAAGACUCCUUGGCAGCUGGGAUUCCAAAACUAAUUGCACCGAUGGAGUCUAAUUACAAGACUCCUUGGCAGCUGGGAUUCCAUAACAUAGUUUAAUUACAAAACUAAUUGCACAGAUGGAGUUUAAUUCGCGAGAUGAAUCUAUUAGGACAGGGGGACCUCCUUCACGCCUUCCGUAGCAUCGAAAGAGCUGGAAGACCGUUUGGAGUUGGGCGAGUCUUUGGCGCCCUCCGCAAGCUGGACCGUGUGGUCCUCCGAGGAAGUGAUGGCCGAGGCGUAUUUGCAUCACUCGACAUCACACUCAUAUGCCUUCUGGAAAGAUGUGCCAACGGUGAUGAUCCCGUUGGGUCCCGGUAGCUUGAGCUUGAGGUAGGUGUAGUUGGGGAUGGCCAUGAACUUGGCGUAGCAUGGUCGUCCAAGGAUGGCGUGGUAGGUUCCGCGGAAGCCUACUACCUCGAAAGUGAGGGUCUCCUUCCUGAAGUUGGAAGGAGUCCCGAAGGUGACGGGCAAGUCGAUUUUGCCCGAGGGGGCACUACCCGUUUUUCCCGGGCACGAUGCCGUGGAAAGGAGCCUCGCUGGGGCAGAGACAAGAUCGGUCAAUCCCCCAUGGCGUCAAGGGUCUCGACGUAAGGAUGUGAGGCUGCUGCCUCCAUCCAUCANNNNNNNNNNNNNNNNNNNNNNNNNNNNNNNNNNNNNNNNNNNNNNNNNNNNNNNNNNNNNNNNNNNNNNNNNNNNNNNNNNNNNNNNNNNNNNNNNNNNNNNNNNNNNNNNNNNNNNNNNNNNNNNNNNNNNNNNNNNNNNNNNNNNNNNNNNNNNNNNNNNNNNNNNNNNNNNNNNNNNNNNNNNNNNNNNNNNNNNNNNNNNNNNNNNNNNNNNNNNNNNNNNNNNNNNNNNNNNNNNNNNNNNNNNNNNNNNNNNNNNNNNNNNNNNNNNNNNNNNNNNNNNNNNNNNNNNNNNNNNNNNNNNNNNNNNNNNNNNNNNNNNNNNNNNNNNNNNNNNNNNNNNNNNNNNNNNNNNNNNNNNNNNNNNNNNNNNNNNNNNNNNNNNNNNNNNNNNNNNNNNNNNNNNNNNNNNNNNNNNNNNNNNNNNNNNNNNNNNNNNNNNNNNNNNNNNNNNNNNNNNNNNNNNNNNNNNNNNNNNNNNNNNNNNNNNNNNNNNNNNNNNNNNNNNNNNNNNNNNNNNNNNNNNNNNNNNNNNNNNNNNNNNNNNNNNNNNNNNNNNNNNNNNNNNNNNNNNNNNNNNNNNNNNNNNNNNNNNNNNNNNNNNNNNNNNNNNNNNNNNNNNNNNNNNNNNNNNNNNNNNNNNNNNNNNNNNNNNNNNNNNNNNNNNNNNNNNNNNNNNNNNNNNNNNNNNNNNNNNNNNNNNNNNNNNNNNNNNNNNNNNNNNNNNNNNNNNNNNNNNNNNNNNNNNNNNNNNNNNNNNNNNNNNNNNNNNNNNNNNNNNNNNNNNNNNNNNNNNNNNNNNNNNNNNNNNNNNNNNNNNNNNNNNNNNNNNNNNNNNNNNNNNNNNNNNNNNNNNNNNNNNNNNNNNNNNNNNNNNNNNNNNNNNNNNNNNNNNNNNNNNNNNNNNNNNNNNNNNNNNNNNNNNNNNNNNNNNNNNNNNNNNNNNNNNNNNNNNNNNNNNNNNNNNNNNNNNNNNNNNNNNNNNNNNNNNNNNNNNNNNNNNNNNNNNNNNNNNNNNNNNNNNNNNNNNNNNNNNNNNNNNNNNNNNNNNNNNNNNNNNNNNNNNNNNNNNNNNNNNNNNNNNNNNNNNNNNNNNNNNNNNNNNNNNNNNNNNNNNNNNNNNNNNNNNNNNNNNNNNNNNNNNNNNNNNNNNNNNNNNNNNNNNNNNNNNNNNNNNNNNNNNNNNNNNNNNNNNNNNNNNNNNNNNNNNNNNNNNNNNNNNNNNNNNNNNNNNNNNNNNNNNNNNNNNNNNNNNNNNNNNNNNNNNNNNNNNNNNNNNNNNNNNNNNNNNNNNNNNNNNNNNNNNNNNNNNNNNNNNNNNNNAGAAAUGACCCUCCAGCGAUGAAGUCGAAUUAUAGGCGAAGUCCUGUCAAGACCCUCAUAAAAGUGCGAAGCAACAAAGAUUCGAGUAUUGAUAGGACAGUCCAGAUUUCCACUAAGCGCAAAAAUCUAAACCAAGCUGCACCUAUUGAUCCCUUCUCAUUCUGCUAGAAACAGCGGAUAUCCUCCCGUAGAGUGACGAUAUGGGACAGGGGGAAGAUGAAAAGACAAAACUUAUCUCUAAGCUCAUUCCAACUGUCGUUCACGCUACCUACGGGUAUACAUGUACCAUUGCUCAGCCUUCCUUAUAAGAGAGUAGGGGAACAAAUUCCACUUGACGGUAUCUUGUGUCAUGCCUGCAAUGGCAAAGCAUGAACACAGCUGCUCGAAAUCAUGCACACAGCUGCUCGAAAUCAUGCAGAUGGGGAGGGGGGGGGGGUGUUACGUGGACUUUACAUCCCUCGGGCACUCAUAUUUUGUGAUACAUUUUCAUGCAAUACUUUUUCAUGGUGCGAGAAACAGAUCAUGAGUUCCUUGCUUAAACUGCAAAGUGAUACAUGUUCUUGGUUUCUACAGUAAAACAUGCUUCUGCCACAGCUUCCUCAUAUUUUGUCAGCCAUUACGAGAUGAUUCUUUCACCAGGUCCACACCACUCGUUAGUCAAAUUUGAGUUAGAGAGUGCCAUCGCCAUCACUUCUUUUUUUUUAUGUCAAAUGCAAACAGACUGGAAAUUUAGGAAGAGAUAAUUUUCCUACGCCUAAUCUGCCCUUAUCCUUCUUGGCCUAGAGUAACCUGGUCUCUCCCAGCUGUGAGACCAUUACCUUGUUCAUUUGUGAGCCUGUUAGAUUGAUUAUUUAAUCCUCCUAGUUAUACGCUUAAACGGCUGGUGCACCAUGCUAUAAAGAACUAGAUAUCCUUGCCACUUAGUUGAGAUUUAGGAGAAAUAAAGAGUAACAUUUUGAAACGAACUAAUAUGCCGGUUAUCUAUAUCUAUAUCUAUAUCUAUAUCUAUACCUAAUAUUAAAGCGAGUAACGUCUCUGCCAGCAAUUUUCGUCCGUCGUGCUCUUUUUGCAAAAAACCCCUCAGACUUUCGUGAAAUCAACCCGCAGUCCAAAUUUUGAAGAGGUUAGGCUCAGGUGGAAAAAGGAGGGAAGGGAGGGGUUAAACCGAAACAAAUGCCGCCGUCGGGGUCGCAGCGGCCCACACUCGGCCCGUGUAGCGCUGUGGCCGGCCGGCACGCGCCCCCUCCCUCAGAGCCGCGUCCCGCGCCGGUUCUGGAUCCGGCGGGAGCGGGCGGCGGCGGCGGCGGAGAGCAGGUGUAACGACCUCGGUUAAAAAUCCUUCGCGUUAAUCUUAAUCCGAGUCCCUGAUCCCCUGUCUUAGUUUACCAAGUCUAAGUGCUCAAUCUCCAGCUCGGUCUCGACCCCCUGUGAUCUGACCCCUCGCCGUUUUUCCCCCAGUUCCGACCCCGCCGACCCCCAACCCACCGCCGGAUCUUUCUAAGUCCUCCCACAACGCCUCCCUUCAAUCUGAGCCAUGGACCGCCGAGACUGACCGAGGGACCCACGGGAUCUUUCUCCCAGAUCUCCCGCGACAGGCGCACUCGAGUUGCAUGCCCGCUUCAGAGUUCCCUAGCCGCGUGGCUCAACUCCUCCGACGCCCGCCGCUCCGCCUCGUCGCCGGCCACGACUGGAUGGAUUCUCGCGCCCCCUUCCCCAAUCGCAGCGGAAGCUCCUCUGCCACCCUUUCUGCAGCACCUCGCUGCCCGCGCCCAUCAUCACAUCGCCAGAUCCUGGCUGCAGAGCCCGAUGCCGCCCGUCUUUUCCAUCGCCCCUCCACAGUCGCGCCGCCCGGUCCUCGCUACGCGACGAUUCCUCCUCCGCCAACCCAGACCACGGCAGCGAUAGCUCCUUUUCCCGCCCUGUCAGAGCUCCACCCCGACAAUCUGUUGCUCCGCACUUGCCCGCGCGACUGCAGCCGCCUGUCUUCUCACCUGUGCGCCCUCGUUUCUAGCGCCGUUUCCCCGGUCACUUCCAUCAGAUCCACCGCACAACGACGCCCGCCUCCGCCAAAUCUCAACCACCGGAAAACCCGCGCCUGCGCCGCCCUGUCACCGGUGCCCAAUGACCGCCGGUGUCAUCCCCGAAGUCCUGCUCCACCGCCCUCGUCGCUCAAUCGCCGCCCCGGCAGCGCACUCCAUCGCUUCUUCCCCGGCCUUCGCGCCGCUCCCCCUUCUCUCUUCCGCGCAGCUAUAAAAGGGAAUGCCGGAGCCCCACCGGAGCCCCCCUUCGCCAUCUCUGCCCUCCCGCUUGCUCCCUGUUCGUGCUCACUGCGCCACCGCCUAAGUCUGAGGAACUCUCCUCUCUGCUCAAACACCACUUUCCCCAAUCCACCAGCCACUGCUCCCCAUGCUGCACGAGAGCUUGCUUGUGGUCCACAAGAAGCACCACCGCCGCCGGAGUACCACCGGACAUCCUCGCCGCUGUCCCAAGCCUUAGUCUUUCCGCCCAAGCCUGUUCUUUCCCGACCCCAAGUCUCAUCUGUAAGACGAAGGUAAGCUACCGACCCUUUGUUCGUCUCGUCCGACCCCUCCUAUCCGCCCGACCCCGGUUCCGUCUCGCCCGACCCUGUCUGUUCCGCCGACCUUUCUCCGCCUCGCCCGAGGGCUCGGCUGUAUCUUUUCCUUGAACCGAGGGUGUAUGUGUAAAACUUGGGGACUUUUCAGCGUUAAGUUUGAGGACCCCUAGCACAUCUAUUCCUCUAGAUUAAGGGUCAGAUCAUAAGUUCCUUCCCAUCCGACCCUUAUAUCAUGAUCUCCACCAACUCAAGCGAACCUCCCCACCCUCCUGUAACUUGCCGCAAGUUUCUAGGCUCAAACUUGCAAGUGUUGCUGUUGAAAUAACCGUCUAAAUGCUAACCAAUGCAUUGCAUUCGUGUAGAGCUGCGUCUCGCCGACGGCUUCUACGAGCUGCACCCGGCGCCAGAAGACGAAGGUGUGGCCGAGCUCCUGCCUCUAGAAGCUGAAGCCGCCCAAGCAGAAGAGCAACUUCCCUCCUCCUUGUUCGAAGGCAAGCCCCGGAUGCAUGAAUCCCCUGUGUUUUACCAAACUUGUGCAUGCCUUCUUUAACAUGCUUGUGCAUUUACGUAUAGGAAUUGUUUGGAACCAUAGAUGCAUAACUUAGCUCCCUUGAUCUGAACACUAGCUGUUGGACCGAGUAGAUGCUUUGCUCAAAUAGGAAACGGUAAAAGCUGAGUGAUUUCCUAUCACUCGCGAGUUGUAGGAGUUGGUUGUUUUCCUCUUCUGUUACAACUAUAAGGAUGAUGGACGGGGCAAGGUGUUGGGUAACUUUUUGGUGGUCGGCUGAUCGCCCCGUCUGUCUAUGAAACUUGCUAAGGCCAGACAGUGGUGGUGUUCGUGAUCAAGUGUUUGAAAGUACUAAUCUCAUACCUAGAAUGGGAUGGGGAAGCCUAGUACCUGAUUGAACUAGGGCGUGGCUUAUACCCCUGCUGUCCCUGGAACGAGGUUCCUAUGGUGCAUCAUGUGGGUGCAAGUGCGGUCACAGUACGGUAGAGACCGGGACUGUGGAGCAUUGCAUGCCAAGGGAAGUUUGGACCUGACACGCGCCUGGGAAUUGAUGGGGACGGCCGACACAGGAAGCGACCCUUGUGGUGCGUGGAUGUCGUGAGAUUAGGUUCGCCAUGUAUGGUUAAGAAACUCGAAUCGAUUCGUCUGCCUCUCACAGUUUGAGAUUGCUUGAUUGCUAUGUCACCCUGAGUAAUAACGGAAUCUGAUGAUGACAUGGUCUUGAUGAUGAUGUAUAUACCUUUGGUUGGUUCUAUGUUUGUUUAGAAUAGGUUGCAAACUUAGACCGGAUAAUGAUCUUAGAACCUGAGCUAAAACUUGAAAGUAGGGAUACACCUAGCGCUUUUGGCAAACAAACCCCUCAGCCAAAAGGCCUUGCAUGUCUAGAAGUGGUGGAGUAGCGUACUCCCUGUCGGUUAAGUCUUGUUGAGCUUAGUAGCUCAACCUUGUUGUGGCUCUUCUUUUCAGGUGAAGUUGCUGCCUCUGAGCCCUCCUCUGGUGGCACUUGGCUGCCCCAAUUCCCUCCGGGUUGGACGGUUGAGUGGGAUCCCUCCUCGGACGGCGAGGAGAGGGAUCGCUGACAUCCCGGUUGGCCUCCCCAGGGAUGUCCGACCCCAAUGAGUUAGUUUCCGCUAGUUGUUUCACCUUUUGUUGUUUUUCUUCUGAACCUUGUAAACUCUGAUGUUGUUUUAUGGCCAAACCAAAUGGUUAAUUUGUUAACUCAGUGGACUUGUUGUUUUCUCUGGAACCGCUCACCUUCGUGUGAGUUUGCUAUUCGGUCCUGUUCAAGUGGUUAAAUCGGAUGAAAUCCGGCGACACUUCGUGUUUACUUGGUUAAGGCAUGAGAGUCGCAUAUCAGGCGGCUUAAUCAUGACUAAUCAAGCAAAUCCGAAGUGGAUCCGCCAUAGCAGGGAGGGGCGGAGCGGGGGAGCCGGGUGGCGGGGAGCAAGGGCGGGCGGCGGAGAGGUGGCGGCGGAGCAGCAGCGGGAUGGGGGAGCAUACAGCGAUGGGGCCUUGGUUGUUGGAGACCGCGACGGCGGGCCGUGACCCGGAGCCCCCGGCGGUGUCCCACUGCACGUCGACGGAGUCGACGAUGCCGCGCUCGUAGCGGGGCGUCCAGAAGCAGGCGGUGUGCUCGCCGUCCUCCGCCGCCUGGAACCUGAACUCCCCUGCGCUCCGCGGCCUCCACCAGGUGGAGCUCCUCGCCACGCGGACCUGUGACGCGCACCGAGAUCCUCGGGUCAGCCAUUGACGUGGACCCUGCCGCCACGCGGUACGAGGUGUGGGAGAGCACGUCGCGGCGAAGGUCCUCGGUCAGGCACUUGGAGCUUCCUGACGGCACGUCGAAGACCAGCGCCUCGGCGGCGGCGCAGGCAUGGAGGAUGACGGCGAGGAGGGGCAGCGGAGCGGUCAUUUCGCGCGAGAUCUAGGCACCGCACGGCCUCGGCCCCGGCCACCCGCGCCGCCCUGGCCACGGCCUACGCCCGCCGCCCGCCUCGGCCGGGGGAGAGGGAUUGGGGGCCGACCGGAUCCGGCGGAGGAGAAGGAGAGGAGUUGGCCGCGCUGCCCGGCCUACGCCCGCCGCGCUUGCCGUCACUGACAUCACCGCCACGGUAACGUAGUCGCCCAAAGCUCGCGCCUUCCGCAUUUCCUUGUCUCCUGGGCAGGGGGCAGAUCCUCGCAUCCCGUGGUUCUGAUGGUGAUCGACUGAUCGUCCUUCUCGUGGCAGGAAUGGUGCGAGAAAUAGAUGGAGUUCGUGUUCGAGCACAGGAAGCCGGAGAGGACCGAUGCCAUGAAGGCAGGUUCGGAUCGCCGAGGAUGAGGUGAGACCUGCAUUUCUGGUUCUCCCGAGCAGAAUGCUGCUUCAUUUACAUGGGUUCUAUCUUGGAAUGCGUCCCAUUACUAAUGAUGAUGCCCCAGACAAGGCGACAACGCAGUAAUCUAUGCCUUUUCACCACGACUUUGCCAUGGAGAAUUUCUCUUAACGAAUGUCAUUUCGACUUGUUUCAUUUUGGAGCAGGUUGUUCGAAGAGUGGAUGUCACCAUUAGAUCUGCGGAAGAAUUAUGGGCGGUAAGAUUCAUGAACUUCAUCGUGGGAACAAACCAGUUAUUGUUUGAGGACAUCACACGGGAAAUUCCAGUGUAAGCACUAGAUGACUAGAAGCUUGUCUCUUCUCUGUGCAACGGCAAACCAAUACCGUGUACUGAUGGAAAUACUCUGCUAUAUUGUUGGUUUCCUGAGUGAAUUUGAAGCUUUCUAUUUAGGAAACAUUCUAUUUAGUAGAUCUGAUUGUGAAUCAUGUCACUGCAGGUUUGGAGUUGUUGAAGGUUCAUGGGUGAUAUUGAUUAUUGAUGAAAUCCAACUGCCCAAGAAUGGCAUUUCAUUUCACCCAUCCUGGUGGAUACAAAGACACGCCGCACGCAAAAUAGUCCCUCAGAAGCACAAAAAAGAAAUGGAAGGUCCAGCCCUUACUGCUGCUUUGCUAACCACUUAAUGUAGAGAAUGGCAAAUUAUGACUUGCAAUUGCCAAGUAUGUUCCCUUAAACCAACUUCUGCUUUGAUCUGAAAUGGCAUGAAAUUGUAUUGAUGCUUUUUUGGCCUGUUGCCCAUUGUUGCCCAUUGUCCAAUCGGAGUAUAAUUACCCAAAAAGAAGAUUAUUUGAUGCUGAGUGCUGAUUAUACUGAAGAUUUUUGUUGUAGAUCGUGCGAUCGCUUGAUUACCCACCCAAGGAUCCUAUUUGUUGCAGAUCAUGGUGUUUUGUUAGUCUUGUUUUAAGGAACAACUCUUAGGUCAAUCAUUCAGUAUACAAAUGCAGAAUGCUGCUUAAAUUGCUUCAAGUUGAUGUUACUUGGCAAGUGUGCUUGUUACAAAAGAUUGUACCACAUCUAUUCCCAUUGUAUUGUGCCAUUUAGAAUGCAUCUUAUUAAUAUAUUAAUACAAGAUCUUUAUGAGGUAAUUGGUGUCUGUUACUGUUUAGCAAACAAAUUUCUUCUUCCCCCCUCAAGCAUGUAGGAGGGCUGCAUAUCAUUGCAUUAAUAGAAGAAAUGAGUCGUACAGAAACCACACACAUCUCCUAGAUAUAACUCACAUUGGCGUUUGUUUUACAACAUAGAAAUAUGACCCGACCAGAACAAAAUUCAUAUGAUGAGUAGUAGUAUUUGUAGUUGUCAUCAAGUUUUAAUGUUUUGCCUCGUAGUAAGAUGGUAGAAUGAUGGCAUUUCUGAAGUUAUCUGCUCAAUAUCUUUAUGACAGGCUCCCGCUGAUGUGUUAUAAGUAUCUAUGGGACAAUUUGAUUGCCGAGAAAUUUCCAGCAGAGAAUUUCUUUAGCUACUUUGACCUGGACCCCAACUACUUGUUAUCAAAUGAUGUCAAGUGGUACGUUAAUUCGUUGGGAUUUAAUGCAAAGGUGCUGUGUCUCACCUUUUUGUAUUCCCCCCUAAUAGUUCUCAGGCAAUUUACUAUGAUUUUUCUUUUAAUUUUCUAUUAAAUGUGUAGACAACCAAUAAGUGGAAUAAAAAUUUAGUGAUGGAAAUAAAAAAUAUCAUUAGUUUGGAAAACAUGCGAUUGAUCUUGUGCCGUAGCAACGCACGGGUAUUUUGCCAGUAUAAAAAAAAUUCAGAAUGAGCACAACAACUACUGAGAGAAACAAUUACAAUACCAAUAAGCUUCCGCAUGAAAGCCACUAGCAUCUGGCCAGAGCUUCAUAGAGCAGCCGCUCCAGCUCCUUCAUAUUUGCAGCCUCCAUGCACAUGAGCACGCUGACACCGCCGGCGCCGUCUGCCGGCCCGUUGUUCAUGAGGUGAACAAACCCGCCGCGGUUGGACUCCGCACGAGACAUCACUCGCGGCUUCCCCCACCCAAAGUCCGCGUCGUAAAUCGGCAUGCCCAGCCAGCUGAUAACCUGUAGAUCGGUCUCCGGCAGGGUGCCCUUCGCCGACGACUGGCUGCCCGUACCUGCCAUCUCGUAGUAGUCGAUCGCGGACCGCACCAGCUCGUCGUCCACCCGACCGAUGGCGGCUCCGAUGCGGCCGGCGACGGACGCCAACGCCUCCGAGGUGAUAUCCCGCGCGGCGGCGGCGACGACCACCCUGACCAACGCGUUGCCGAAGUAGCGUUCCGGGAGGGGCGGAUUCACCCGGCGCCGGAUGUUGACCGGGGCGGUGAAGCGGGCUUCGGAAUCCGGCGGGAGCCGCCGCGCGACGCACGCGCACCGCCACACGAGGGCGCUCACGGCGCGGAACGUGCUCGUGCCGCCGCACAGGCGCUUUAGCGAGGCGAUCCGGUCCUUGGAAAUGGUGAAGACUUUGGUGGCGAGAGGUCCCGACGGAUCGGAGAAGGCGAGCUUGGGGUAGAACGUCGAGAGAGCGUCGGGGUGGACGGUGGGCGGGGACCGUGCGCGGAGGAGGGUGCGGUCGUGGCAGGGGGGCUCCACGGCGGCGCGUUCGCCGUCCCUGGAGAAGGCCGACCAUGUCUGGAAGAAGUGAAUCGCGCUCAUGGCGUCGAUGGCGGCGUGGUGGAGGGCCGUCCCUAACGCCACCCAUCCACACUUGAAGAACGUCACCUGCAAUGCAAUUAAACAUGCAUCCACACACACACACACAUCAUGUACCGAUGCAAAUUGACAUAUGAUUGAGGAAGCAUGGAAGCACUAAUAUAAUUUAGGAGAAGUUGCAGACCUGUACGGCCAAUACUACGGACGAUGGCUCGAUGCGUGGAACAAGCUGCCUCCUUAGCUCCGGCGACGGCUUGACGUCUUUGAUCUCGUCGUCAACAGUGAUAUCAGAGCGAGCGACAACGAAGAGUGCGCCCUCGCCGUUACAGUCGAUCUCUACCCUACCGCUGCCAUCGACGGCGAGGCGGCCAGCGAGUGGGAAGAAGGGCACCAAGGCCUUGGCCAUGGCCUCCUUGAGCCUGGCCACGUCGAAGAAAUCGGACGCGGUGUCAUCGGAGUGAAACAAGUAGACUGUUGGUGUGUGGCCUCUACUGGCCAACAUGAUGUCCAGGGAAGACAACCAGAGCCCCUGCCUCGGUGUCGGCUCGCUCGGCGCCACAAAUGAAGACUCUACCACUUUCACCUCAAAAUCCAUUGAUUUUAAUUUCCACAAAGGAUUAACCGGCGAGGAAAGAUCACGGCCGCCACGGAUUGGUGCUUCCCCUCGCGUCUCCAGGCCUGGAACGAGAAAGAGAUGAACCGGAACGUGAUCACCAUGGCAAUGGGGGUCAGGUUGGUGCUUUGGUUGCCCGAGACGACGAGACGCUCACCUUGCGCGGCGGCGCACACAGGAGAGACGGCCGGCGCGUUCGGACGCCGGGGACGAGGAAGAACAAGAGGGCUCUUCUCGGGGAAAGUAAUGCAUGGGAGGAGGCGCGAGGAAGGAAGGGAAAUAGCAUCCGUCCGGCUGUCGGCUCGCCGGAGAGGGGACGUUGCUGUCGCUUGCGUUGGGUCGGACGUUGCUGUCUCUCUGGAUGUGGACUUUAAAUAAUUUAGAGUUUAGAUGGCUGCCUUUGUGGCCCUGCUUCCUACAAAAUGGGUUGGAAGCAGGGCACCACAAAGGAACCUGUCAAGCGCAUAAUUCACAUGGUUAUAAGUGUUCAUGCGAGGAAAAAAAAAUUCAUGCAAUACUUUUUCAUGGUGCGAGAAACAGAUCAUGAGUUCCUUGCUUAAACUGCAAAGUGAUACAUGUUCUUGGUUUCUACAGUAAAACAUGCUUCUGCCACAGCUUUCUCAUAUUUUGUGAGCCAUUACGAGGUUCGAGAGAAUUUAUCACUGAUCAAGCUGCUACCUGCUUGCCAAAUUUGCUACCGAUACCACCUUAUAAUAAAAUCGGACGCAUUUUGCAUCAUAUCUUUGCUGAUCACAUAGCUGAAGUAAUGCUUAGUCAUUUCUAGAAUUAAAUAAAUUGGAUGCUACAACCAUACUCCCUCCGUGAAUAUAUAACGUUUAAGAUAAGAACGAACUACCUAACUUGUCCUAAAUCUAUAUCUAUACUUAUUAUUAAAGCGAGUAACGUCUCUGCAAGCAAUUUUCGUCCGUCGCGCUCUUUUUGCAAAAAAUCCCUCAGACUUUCGUGAAAUCAACCCGCAGUCCAAAUUUUGAAGAGGUUAGGCUCGGGUGGAAAAAGGAGGGAAGGGAGGGGUUAAACCGAAACAAACGACGCCGCCGGGGUCGCAGCGGCCCACGCUCGGCCCGUGCAGCGCCGUGGCCGGCCGGCACGCGCCCCCUCCCUCAGAGCCGCGUCCCGCGCCGGUUCUGGAUCCGGCGGGAGCGGGCGGUGGUGGCGGCAGAGAGUAGGGAGGGGCGGAGCGGGGGAGCCGGGCGGCGGGGAGCAAGGGCGGGCGGCGGGGAGGUGGUGGCGGAGCAGCGGGAUAGGGGAGCAUACAACGAUGGGGCCUUGGUUGUUGGAGACCGCGACGGCGGGCCGUGACCCGGAGCCCCCGGCGGUGUCCCAUUGCACGUCGACGGUGCGGCACUCGUAGCGGGGCGUCCAGUAGCAGGCGGUGUGCCCGCCAUCCUCCGCCGCCUGGAACCUGAACUCCCCCGCGCUCCGCGGCCUCCACCAGGUGGAGCUCCUCGCCGCGCGGACCCGUGACGCGCACCGAGAUCCUCGGGCAGCCGUCGACGUGGACCCCGCUGCCACACGGUACGAGGCGUGGGGAGAGCACGCCGCGGCGAAGGUCCUCGGUCAGGCACUUGGAGCUUCCUGACGGCACGUCGAAGACCAGCACCUCGGCGGCGGCGCAGGCAUGGAGGAUGACGGCGAGGAGGGGCAGCGGAGCGGUCAUUUCGCGCGAGAUCUAGGCACCGCACGGCCCCGCCCGCCCGCGCCGCCCCGGCCACAGCCGCGCCGCCCGGCCUGCACCCGCCGCCCGCCUCAGCCGGGGGAGAGGGAUUGGGGGCCGGCCGGAUCCGGCAGAGGAGAAGGAGAGGAGCUGGCCGCGCCGCCCGGCCUGCGCCCGCCGCGCUUGCCGUCACCGACAUCACCGCCACGGUAACGUAGUCGCCCAAAGCUCGUGCCUUCCGCAUUUCCUUGUCUCCUGGGCAGGGGGAAGAUCCUCGCAUCCUGUAGUUCUGAUGGUGAUUGACUGAUCGUCCUUCUCGCGGCAGGAAUGGUGCGAGAAAUAGAUGGAGUUCGUGUUCGAGCACAGCAAGCCGGAGAGGACCGAUGCCAUGAAGGCAGGUUCGGACCGCCGAGGAUGAGGUGAGACCCGCAUUUCUGGUUCUCCCGAGCAGAAUGCUGCUUCAUUUACAUGGGUUCUAUCUUGGAAUGCGUCCCAUUACUAAUGAUGAUGCCCCAGACGAGGCGACAACGCAGUAAUCUAUGCCUUUUCACCACGACUUUGCCAUGGAGAAUUUCUCUUAACGAAUGUCAUUUCGACUUGUUUCAUUUUGGAGCAGGUAGUUCGAAGAGUGGAUGUCGCCAUUAGAUCUACGGAAGAAUUAUGGGCGGUAAGAUUCAUGAACUUCAUCGUGGGAACAAACCAGUUAUUGUUUGAGGACAUCACACGGGAAAUUCCAGUGUAAGCACUAGAUGACUAGAAGCUUGUCUCUUCUCUGUGCAACGGCAAACCAAUACCGUGUACUGAUGGAAAUACUCUGCUAUAUUGUUGGUUUCCUGAGUGAAUUUGAAGCUUUCUAUUUAGGAAACAUUCUAUUUAGUAGAUCUGAUUGUGAAUCAUGUCACUGCAGGUUUGGAGUUGUUGAAGGUUCAUGGGUGAUAUGGAUUAUUGAUGAAAUCCAACUGCCCAAGAAUAGCAUUUCAUUUCACCCAUCCUGGUGGAUACAAAGACACGCCGCACGCAAAAAAGUCCCUCAGAAGCACAAAAAAGAAAUGGAAGGUCCGGCCCUUACUGCUGCUUUGCUAACCACUUAAUGUAGAGAAUGGCAAAUUAUGACUUGCAAUUGCCAAGUAUGUUCCCUUAAACCAAUUUCUGCUUUGAUCUGAAAUUGCAUGAAAUUGUAUUGAUGCUUUUUUGGCCUGUUGCCCAUUGUCCAAUCGUAGUAUAAUUACCCAAAAAGAAGAUUAUUUGAUGCUGAGUGCUGAUUAUACUGAAGAUUUUUGUUGUAGACCAUGCGAUCGCUUGAUUACCCACCCAAGGAUCCUAUUUGUUGCGGAUCAUGAUGUUUUGUUAGUCUUGUUUUAAGGAACAACUCUUAGGUCAAUCAUUCAGUAUACAAAUGCAGAAUGCUGGUUAAAUUGCUUCAAGUAAAUGUUACUUGGCAAGUGUGCUUGUUACAAAAGAUUGUACCACAUCUAUUCCCAUUGUAUUGUGCCAUUUAGAAUGCAUCUUAUUAAUAUAUUAAUACAAGAUCUUUAUGAGGUAAUUGGUGUCUGUUACUGUUUAGCAAACAAAUUUCUUCUUCCCCCCUCAAGCAUGUAAUAUCAUUGCAUUAAUAGAAGAAAAGAGUCCUACAGAAACCACACACAUCUCCUAGAUAUAACUCACAUUGGCGCCUAUUUUACAACAUAGAAACAUGACCCGACCAGAAUAAAAUUCAUAUGAUGAGUAGUAGUAUUUGUAGUUGUCAUCAAGUUUUAAUGUUUUGCCUCACAGUAAGAUGGUAGAAUGAUGGCAUUUCUGAAGUUAUCUGCUCAAUAUCUUUAUGACAGGCUCCCGCUGAUGUGUUAUAAGUAUCUAUGGGACAAUUUGAUUGUCGAGAAAUUUCCAGCAGAGAAUUUCUUUAGCUACUUUGACCUGGACCCCAACUACUUGUUAUCGAAUGAUGUCAAGUGGUACGUUAAUUCGUUGGGAUUUAAUGCAAAGGUGCUGUGUCUCACCUUUUUGUAUUCCCCCUACUAGUUCUCAGGCAAUUUACUAUGAUUUUUCUUUUAGUUUUCUAUUAAAUAUGUAGACAACCAAUAAGUGGAAUAAAAAUUUAGUGAUGGAAAUAAAAAAUAUCAUUAGUUUGGAAAACAUGCGAUUGAUCUUGUGCCGUAGCAACGCACGGGUAUUUUGCUAGUAUCAUAUAUUUAUGGACGCGUUUAACACAAGCUAGUCGAACUAUCUUGUCGUAAUCUGAGCGGAUCCUAAUCGUCAUAUAUUAAAAUGGGAGCCCGACCGACUUUUUUAUUUUUAUUACACGUGAAAAUGAUGUGCAGCCCAGCCUGCCCCAAAAACUACACCCCGAUAGCUCUCACAGGUGGGCCUAAUUAGGUAUUUUGAGCUUAAAAUGUCUCUCCUUUUGUCAGCCCGAUCCAGUCCAACUUUCGCUCAGGUCUACUUACUCAUUCCAUAGACAAUUCAAAGUUUCCAAAUUAUAAUCUAACGAAUUUUAUGUUAUUCUACCCAUAAGUGUUGUGUUGUGGGUUCCAAUUUCAUGAGAUGAUAUCUGGCAUCAUAAUCUACAUUAAAUUCCAUGCAUUUUCAUAUCUUACAAAUAAACUAAUAUCAAACUAUCUAAACAUAUGAAAUUAUUAAUAGCAAAAAGUCGGAAAUAGUUUGAAAAUAGCAAAAUUUGAAUAUGAAACACAACUUGCACACGGAGAAAAAAUUAUUUAGGGUGAAUUUAGACCAAUUUGAAUUGUUUGGAGCACUUAUUGAGUCGAUACUUUGUAGAUAAGGUCAAACGGAUGAAGUGGAUUGUUCCAGGUACUAAAACAUGCUUCCUCCAUGAAGAAUGCCUGGGCUGUGCAAACAGUUUCAUUGUGAAGAUAUCGCGCGGCAUGGCAAGAUGGCACAGACGUCUAGAAGUCAGACGCCCAAAAAAACAGUCAUCCUCGAGGUUGUUUUGUUCAGCAUGAACCACCUAGCUUCGUAAAAUAAUUAACUUCGGGCGAGGGUCCCUAAUCUCAAGGGACCGGUCUGGCGUGAAAGUUGCUAGCUUCGCGUCACCUCUGUAAAUUCAAUCUCGAAGCCAAGAGAUAAUUGCUGAUCACUAGGCUAUAACAAAGCUUACCCUCGAGCACUCGAAGCUAACCCCGAGCGUCGAGUUGUUUACUGUGUCUCACGCAGGGUCGUUGGAAUGAACAAGCCAAGAACCAGGGCACGAGGCUGGCACCUCUCUAGUGCGAGGCUAAGAUAACUUCGAGGCACGAGGCUAACAUGGCUUUGGGUGCGAGAUUAAAGGCGUGGAGGCGUUGAAAAUGUGAAGGCGUGAUUCUCAGGAUUGUCUGAGAGCGUGAUUCACAGGAUUGUCUGGAGGCGUGAGAAGCGCGACUCGGUGGAGGAGACUAAGUCGUACAAGUUACCUCCAAAAGAUCUUUAUGUAUAGCAUAUUAUAGGAAUGUAGUGGUUGAGUAAGGGUAAUCGCGGAAUGUAAAGUGUCCUCCGGACACUAUAAAAGGGGAGCCCUACCCCGAUGUAAACGGAUGCUCAUUUUUUAGAAUUGAACCACAAGAACUUCUCUAACAUUGUUGUGUUCGAGUCUCCUUAAGAUUUGUUUCCCAACAUUGGCGCCCACCGUGGUCUGAGCCAACAAGUAACCCACGAUGCCACCCUAGAAGAAGAAGAGGACCACCCAGGACGAGGCAGGGUAGGAAAGGCAACUCGUUUCGGUCGAGCAAGAUAACACUGAUAAGGUAGAAAAACAAAAAAGAAUCGAGUCUAACCUAAGAACGAGAAGUGAAAAAAGGAGAAUGGAGGCGGAGACCUCAAGCCAAGCACAACCGCAAGUAAACAUGCAUAAUGAUCCCCUUAGUGAAACAGAAGAUGACUUAGCCUCGGCACUAAAAUAACUAGAAGCACUGAAGAAAGAAAAGAAAAAAUUGCUCAAGAACUCCAGGCGCAAAGAUUAGCAGCCAACAAGCUGGCAAUCCUAAAUGAGGCCAAAAGGCAGCUAGCAGAGUUGCAGCAAAAGAUGAACAAGUUGCAAUACUUGCAUAAUACACCACAACAGCCACCGCAGCCACCACUUCCAACUUUCGGCACCAAUGGCACACCCAUAAUAUACCCAAAUUCUAGCCUCGUUGGACACAACACCCCAGUGACAACGAGCGCAUACACAACGAUCGACAAAAUCUCUCCAUUAUCCUUAGGCUUACAAACAGCCCCAUGGCCAAUAACCUACAAAGCAGUUACACUGCCAAAGUUUAACGGGUAAACAGAUCCUUGGCAGUUCCUCUUGAGUUACGAAACAACCAUAGCCUCGGUGGCAGGAGAUGACGUGGUGCUAGCAAAAUCUUUUAUAAUAGCAUGCGAGGGCGCGGCAUUGAAUUGGUACUCUCUACUCCCACCGCAGUAAGUAUACAGCUGGAUAGAUCUCAAAUCCAAGCUAGUACAAAACUUCCAAGGCUUUCACAGAGCCGUGACUGAUGAGGAGGAUCUAUUCAAUUGUGUGCAAAAAAGAUAAAGAACCUCUCGCAAGCUAUGUGAGAAGAUUUGUCCAGCUCAAGUCGCAAGCUGCAGAUGUAGAGGAUAGUGUGGCCAUAGCAGCCUGCAUCAAGGGGCUCAACCCAGGCCCAACAGCCUCGAAGCUAUCAAGGAAAAAGCCAAAAACAAUGGAAGCCCUAUUCAUAGAGCUAGAAAAGUAUUGUAGAUCAGAUGAAGAACAUAGGAGAAGAGUGGCGGAGAGAAACUGCUAGAGGCAAGCUGAAAAAGACCAAAACUAGCAAGCCUCGCGCUACAAUCACAAGCAACAUCACCACUUGCACCCAGCCCAACAGGUACUGGCGAUCGAGAGUAAUCAACCCUCGCACCAAAACUAAAACCAAAACCAAGGUCAAAACCAAAACCGAAACUACCAACAUCAACCAAACUUUGGCAGCAGCCAGAGGGGCGGCUAUGCCGGAAGGGGAAGAGGCCGAGGCAGAGGGCCCCUGAGGCCAAAUAACCAAAGUAACCAAUAGAGACCGUUUUACUGUAUGUUCCAUGGCAAACAACUUGACCAUGCAACUAAUUUUUGCCCUGAAGCAACCACCAUACUACACAAACCCCAACCUCGCAACCUUCCAACCCGCCAUGAUGUGGCAACAUUCACUGUAAUUUCGCCCUCAAACUCAGUUAACCUCGCAGACUGCAAACUAAACACCUUCCCAACCUCUUCAUGAGAUACCCUUGCCACCACCAAAUCUACCAAACAAAAUUCCAAAAGCCGAGCCUAACAAUCCACAAAACAACAAUCCUAAAGCCAUGCCCACAUAUGGCAUGAUAAUGCCAAUCUCAGGGGGAUCCUCACAAUUCGAGCGUUGCGAGGAAAGCUCAAAUGCUCUACCAACCUAUGGCAUGAUAAUGCCAAUCGUCGGAGGGUCUUCCCUCGAGUUUGAAAAUAAAAGGCAAAAAAGAGAUUAUUUCAGGUAGGUGAACACGAUCAUACGUGAUGGUCCCCUAGCCAAACCAGAGUGGGCACACAUGCCCAUCUCUUUACAGAAGAAGAUUUUAAAUUGAAAACAGCCUUGCAUAAUGAUGCGCUGGUGAUCGAGGCCAUUAUUGCUAGCUGGAAAAUAGGGAAGGUCCUAGUGGACAAUGGAAGUUCUGCGGAUAUCAUCUUCGCAAACGCCUUUAGAGAAAUGAAAAUCGACCCGCACUUGCUCGAGCUGGCGGAAGUCCUAUUGCUUGGCUUUGGGGGAGGCCGGUUAAAGCCUUAGGAAAAAUCGCACUCCCAGUUUCAUUUGGAAAUCUCGACAAUGCAAAAACAAAACACAUAAUGUUCGAUGUAGUCGAAAUGUACUACCCCUACUUCACCAUCCUCGGGAGAGGGUUCAUCAACAAGUUCAAUGCAACAAUUAGGCAACUAUUUUUAUGUAUGAAAAUCCCAACCUUGAAAGAAGUCAUCACGGUCUACGAUGACCAACAAACUGCCAGAAAUAUAGAAAAAGAUGUAACCCCCGGACAAAAGAAUUUCCAUCACUUAACGACCCCUUACGAGGUUGAGCCGCAAGAAAAGAAAAAGGCAUAUGUUGAGCCCAAGAGGGACAAAGAGAAGGUGAAGAUAAGCGAGGAUGGCGAAACAAAGACAGUCCUCCUGGAUGACUAUGUCAUGGACAGAUAUAUCACAAUAGGUGCUAACGUCGAGCCCGAGGAGGAGAAAUAAUUAAACGAAUUCCUAAACAAAAACAAAGAUGUUUUCGCCUGGUCUGCCAAUAACCUCCAAGGGGUUGACAGGGACAUAAUCGAGCACAGCCUUGACAUAAAACCAGGUGCAAAGCCAAAAAAGCAAAAACUUAGGAAAAUAUCAGAAGAAAAAGCUCAAGCUGUGAAAUUUGAAGUUGAAAGACUCCUUGAGGCCAACGUCAUACGCCUGAUCAUCUACCCAGAAUGGCUGGCCCACACCGUACCAAUCAAGGAAAAGAAUGGCAAGUGGAGAAUGUGCAUAGACUUCACUGACCUAAACAAGGCAUGCCCAAAAGACGACUAUCCAUUGGAAAGAGUGGAUAAGGUGGUGGACGAUGCUGCAAACAGUGAAAUGUUAUUGCUGUUGGACUUAUUCUUGGGGUACCACCAAAUUCGAAUAAAAAAAGAAGAUGAAGGAAAAACUGGUUUCAUAACACCCUUUGGAACUUUUUGCUUCGUGAGAAUGCCCGAGGGGCUAAAAAUGCAGGCAAACUUUCUCAAGAAUGAUAGAAAUAAUCUUGCCCAAACAGCUUCGUAGAAAUAUCCUAGCUUACGUCGACGACCUAAUCGUAAAAAGUGAUAAGAAGAAAGAUCGCAUACUUGACCUCGUGGAAAGAUUUGAUAAUUUAAGAGUAGCAAACCUGAAACUCAACCCAGAGAAAUGUGUGUUCGGGGUUUAGCGGGGUAAAGUCUUAGGAUGCCUGGUUUCAACGAAGGGCAUCCAGGCCAACCCGAACAAAAUCUAGGCACUUGUUGAUAUGAGGAAGCCAACCUCGGUGAAAGAUGUGCAGAGAUUGACGGGAACUAUCGCAGCCCUUAACAGGUUCAUUCCAAGAGCUGCAGAACAAAGCUUACCAUUUUUCCAAGUGCUGCGAAACUCUAAAAUGUUUGAGUUUCUGCGCAACCACGUGAUGAAAACUUAUGUUUUUGUGCAAGAAAUUUAAAGCAACGACAAGUUGCCUAACCUCGUAUUUCUAUGCAAAUAUAGCAUGCGUUUUUAUGCAAUAUACAUAAGGCAACAAUUAAGUUUGCAAAACCUCAUUUUCUAUGCGCCAUAUAUACCAAGGGUUGCGAUAUCAACCAAACUAUCGUUAUAUUUCUAAGUCAACAAAACUCGAGAACAAGUUUUCUGUUGACUUAUCUUGUAGAUUGUUAAAAUUAAUCUAACCUCGUUCACGCAAAAAGGUAAGAAGGGCGAGGGUGAUGCUUUUUUGAAAAAGGGAAAGCUUGAGCAUCUCACCUCUCGCCAUCUCUUCUAAGUCAACCAAACUCGAAAACAAGGUUUUUCGUGACUUAUCCUCUAGAUCUUAAAGCUGUAUCUAAGUUCAAUCUCUUUCGCGAUAAAGGAUGAAAAGGGGGGCAUGAUGUUUUUUGACAGACAAAAAUAUUUUCAUUCUCUUUCCAUGAGAAAAUAACCUCGAGUAAAACCCUCGAACAAAAGGGCAGGGGGUGACAUUUUUUUUUAAAAAAACACUUCUCAUCCCUUUGUUCUCGGAGUUUCAUCUCGAGCCCAACAAACAAAUCUCCAUCGUUCAGCUCAAGCAACGAACAUCGAAGCUCAACCAAAAUCUACGCAUAAAGGAGCUAGGGGGGUGACGUUUUUCAAAAAAGAAAGCACGACGCUCGCUCUUGCAUGCUGCAAUUUUAGUUACCAAGCAGAUGAUAUCACACAAACAUCACAGCCUCGAGAUACAAGAAUUCGCGAGGAUACAAAUAGUAAAGCAUUCAAAUAUUAAAGGCAACUAGUUCGAAGCACUUGGCACCAACCAAACAACUAAUAUUUACAUCACGGUCCGCAAAAGCAUCCCAUCAAAGUGUUAAAUGUAUCAUUACAAAAGACUAUGGUCAACAAUGCAAAUUCUCAGUUAGGCCUCGAGCAAGUUGAUCUGUGAAAAGCAUCCUUCUCCCGAAGCCAUUGCUUCCGCCUCCGCCCUUGCCUUUGGAUUCCUCCUCCUUAGUCUGUGAAAAAAAUAAAAAACCAUCAAAAAAUGAGCCAAAAAUAAGAGAGAUAAACGCAAGAUCAAAUGAACCCCGACCUGCAGAAGUUGCUUUUGAGCAACGAGCCUCGCGUGUUCUCACUCGAAAGUAGCACAAAUUUGUUUGUAAAAGUUCAGCUUCACGGCUCUCACAUUCUUGGACUUCUCCUUUGCAUGAAUCUCCAAGGCCAAGGGAAACUUGUGGGUACUAGCCGCGAACUUUAAGAAAUGCGAACAACCACUCUCUUCAAGAAGAUGAAACGUGCUUUCAAUACAAAAGGAAACGGAAAAGUCGCUGACCCCAGUCAAAACCUCAGGUAGACCCUUGAACUCCUCAUCCAUCUAUUCGAACAUUUCUUUCUCACCUUCAUCGCUUGGGAAUGGAAGAGGCUCAGCACCAAAUGUCAUGAGAGCAGCCUUGUAUCCCUCGUAAAUCUCAGCAAAUCUCCUCUUAAGGGCCUGCUCCGCCUCCUCAACAAAGGUCUUCUGUUCUUGAAACUUUUGGCCAAGGGUGUGAAUCACCUUGUCCCUUUCUGCAAUGGCCUGUAUAUCUUUUUCCACGGUGUUUCGGAGUUUCUCCAAAACACCAAGAUUUCCUUUGGAGCUCUUUUCCAACCUCUCAACUUGUUGAGCGAGGUCACUGCAAGUGUUCAUGAGCAAUGUCUUGUUUCUUUCAAGCUCGGAGUUAGCCUCGGAAAGCUCAUCCUUUAUAUUGUACAAAAUUUUAUUCUCUUCCUCGAGCCUUGCGACCCUAGCCUCGAGCUGCAUCAUCUUUGUGCUCUAGCUGAGCAUGUCUUUCUCCUUGGUCGCCAGCUUAUCAACAACAAGUUUACCAAGAAUAACAGACUACAAAACAGAAACACCAAAAAAGAUAAUUAAAUAAUAGUAAAACAAUAAGAGGCAAAAGCAAUAAGCCUCGGAUAUACUACCUUAUACUCAAGGGUAGCCAACAUCCUAGCCAAGUUAUUGGGCUCAAAGGGAUAGGCAGAUCUUUCAUACUCUGUCAAAAGCAAGACACAUCAGAAAAAUAGGGAAACAAAAAUUAACCGCAAUCAAAGUUGAGCAGAAAGACAAACACUAACUCUCGGGGUCAAAAGCUUUAUCCUCGUAGUCACCCUCGGCAGGUGCCUUGGACUUUUCAGGGGCACGAGCAGGACGGAUCUCUAUUGUUAGUGACAGGGAUCCUGUCUUUACCGGUGCAUUUUGGAUAGAAUUGUUUCGCUUUGUCGGGAGUGACUUUAUGCCUCGUUCUGCUUUUCACCCACAAACUGACAGCCAAUCAAAAGUCACUAACAGGGUAUUGGGUGUCUAUCUUCGCUGUCUUGCCGGCGAUCGGCCACGGAGUUGGCUCAGGUGGCUGCCAUGGACGGAAUACUGUUAUAGUACUUCCUAUCAGACAGCUCUUCAGGCCACGCCCUUUGAGAUGGUUUAUGGCAGGCCGCCCCCCACAUUGGCUGCUUAUCAGCCCGGCUUGUCACGGGUGGCUUCAUUGGACAAGCAGCUCGUCGAAAGGGAUGCAUUCUUGGCUGCUGUUCGGGAAUGGCUCCUCCAGCCACAAGGAAUCAUGAAGCAACAAUAUGAUGCAACCCAUCGGGACGUCACCUUUGCUGUGGGUAAUUGGGUGUGGCUUCAUUUUCACCAGCGUGCAGUGUCCUCCGUCAAGGUGGCCUAGAAUGCCAAGCUGGCUCCUGGCUACUACGGGCCAUUUCAGGUGAUUGAGCGCAUUGGCUCGGUUGCCUAUCGCCUGCAGCUUCCCGCCAAAGCACGCAUCCACAAUGUCUUCCUGAAGCCGUUUCAUGGCGAGGCCCCGGGUGACAUAAUUCCACUUCCUACCGUUGUGCAUGGCCAUGCUAUUCCAGAACAUGCUAAGGUUCAGCGUGCCUAUCUUAAUCGUGGGGUGUGGGAGGUCCUGGUGCAUUUGCUGGGUCAGAGUGCCGCAGAUUCUACAUGGGAGCCAUCGGAGGAAUUCAAGUCCACAUACCUAGAUUUUCAGCUCGAGGACGAGCUGUUUCGAAAGGAGGGGGGAAGUGUUGUGGACUCUUUCAUGGGAAGGUGUACAACAGGAGGAAGAAGGCGCCAUCUAGUUGCUGAUGUGGUGCUUAAUUCCCCUAUUUUGUGGCUGGGUCAGUAGUUAGUUGGAUCAGGAUACAAAUAAGAUCAGAUAGAGAUGAGAUAAGAUCAUAAUAGUUGAGAGUUUGUUAUGGCCGGCCUUCUUAUAAGCCAAGGCCACGACAGGAGAUUAGGUAGGUAGAAAUAGAUCCUAGCACUCAGAGCCUUCCAGGGAGGGCAAGUUGGGUUUCUAUCCUACCAUUGUAGCCUGUCUACUAAUCAAUAAAGCUGUUAUGUUCCCCAUUUCUUGUUGCUUAUCAUUGUUCUUCAGAAUUUCCACUGGGUAGCGAGAAGCAUUUUCUAUAUGCUUUAAUUUCACAAGAAAUAAAACCAGGUCCGUAUAGAAAUCCACAUUUCUGAAGCUUACAUUAGGCAUCAUGUUGAGCCGAAGCAUGUUUUUGUAGCUAAGUUCUUGAGGUUCGUGAGGUUGGAAACUUGGAAUGGUUGAGAUUGUUUCGUCGCAAUUCAGUGGUUUAGUCUGCAACUUUCAGAUGGCCCUGGGCUUCUCCGAUUGUAAAUAUGCCACAAAUAAAACACGCCCAUUAACCUGCCUGGAUAAUACAUACUUCAUGAAGAUGUUGCAGCUAGAGUAGUGAACUGCUUUAAGUCUACUAUGUACUGUAUGUGUUGUUCUCAGCUGCGUGGGUCAGGUACUCAGGUCAGGUCAAUAAGCAGCUGCAUGCAUGUGUCGUUUCCUGCUUCUGGCUUGUUAUUUUGUUAUCUUGUGUUCACUUGUGCGUCUGUCAUAUAUACGUCUAAGAGUUAUAUACAAGUCUUUUUCCCCCAUUCUUUUCCUUAUAUAUCAUGAAAAGGAAAAGAGUUCUUUACGGUCGUUUUGUACUCCAGUGUAUAAGCAUAGAAGGACGAAACAUAAAAGUACAGUUAAUUUUUUUUUCUAUGAUGGUCAUCUUUUUCGCAGGUUCGCAGGUUCGAUCCGCAUCGCUUUUUCCAAUGACUUUAAGCACAUUAAUUUCAGAUUACAGUCAGUAUAUACGGAGUACUACCAUUUCAAUCUUUAUUGAUGUUCGAUCGGCUUUCACCUGAAACAAAUGCUGGUCCAGAAAUUCCCACGGAAGAAAUCGCGCGUCGCGGCUACCUCAAAGUCACUGAAAUCAAGCAAUCGGUUAGAGGUAACCACCGCGUCCGCGAAGUCCUCUAUCAGGCAGCUACACGAUGUGGUUUCAGGUUUUGAUGAGAGGAAGAGGGGGUUAGUGAAGUCAAUAGGCUUCAAGGUAUCCUCUAUUUCCCCCCUCUCAGGCAAACCAACAGGAAGUUUGCGCUAUGGAUUAUGAGCAGGGUUGAUCCGUUGUCACAGACGUUGGUUAUCAAUGAUUCAAGGAAAAUACAGUUUAGUAAGGAAGAUGUUGCUCGUGUGUUUCGUAUUCCCAGCCAUGGCUUGAGUGUAGCCGAAAAUGGAAUGCCAGGGAAGGAAACUGUUUCUAAGAUAACAGCUGAAUACCUUGGUGUUGAGGCGAAGGAUCAACCUAGUAUCAAGGCGGCACAGGCGGUUAUUGAGCGGGACUAUGGUGGGUCAAUGUCACCGAGUGAAGAAAAUGCUUUUAAGGCAGCAUUUGUAGUGUAUGUGAUGUCUUUGUUACUGUCUCCGGGUGCAAAGUAUGAUCAUGCCUCUGUGGAUUACUGGAAUACGCUUAGAGAUCCUUUGGUUAUACAUACAUUUGACUGGUCAGAAGAUGUCAUUCAACGACUGCUGUAUGCUGUUCUGAAACUCAAGUCUGACCUAAAGAGUAACCUAAAAGUCCCGAGCAUCACGGGAUGUACUCUAUUCCUGCAGGUAUACAAUUAUAUCUCGUACAAUACAGUGCUCGUCCCAUUCUAUCUUUAUUGUUAUACCAUUUUGUUGAUUUCUCUAUACCUAUUUUGUUAUCAGGGCCUGUACCUUGAUAGCAUAUGGAAUAUGGACCACAACAAACUCCCACGUAUCCAGCCAUUUAAUGAUGGAACAAUGAAAUCUAUGAUUCUUGGUAAUACUCUUUCCGGUCCCGAUGACUAUAGUGAAUCUGAUUUUGGUAAUAGCAAGGUCAGAUUCGUUUGAUAUUCUUAUGUUGUUCUUCUAUUCUAUCUAUUUGUUGCAAUUAGUAGCUUGUUUUGAAGUAUUCAACUUGAACUUAUUAUUGCUUUCUACUCUGCAAAUUUAGCUGCGGGCACCAUCUGGUUUAUGUUACCACUGGGCAGCUGUUCAGGACUCCAAUGGCACUGGCCAUCCUAUGUCUCAGCAGAUGGCUUUGUGUGAGGCAACUACAUCCUCGGCACAUGCUCUGAGAGUCCCUGUAACAUCCUCCGCAUUAGAGCCUUUUGAUGUCCAAAUAGCUAGUGAAACUUCCGUUAGCUGUUCCGCUAAGAGACAGCUAUGUUCUGAUAUGAAGGGUGUCUCUCUGGUUGACCAACCAGAUCCAGUUGGCAAAAAAGCCCGUUUCAUCAGUUGUACAGAGCACAAUGGUCAUCAGGAUAGCGCAUCUUGCCAAGCAUCAACUGACCGCCAUAACAUGAUGUCAUCGUCCACGAUAGACUUAUCAAAGCAGAUUGAUCCCAUUUUUUCCAAUGCUUUGAGCACCCAUUGUAUGAUCACGAAAGCAAUGCCUACAUUAUACUUGGGUGCUCAUCAUUCCAAGUUGUGGUUCUAUAGAUCUCAAUGUCACAUUGCAGUCACUGGAUUCUUCUGAUGACUAUGCUCCUAGAAAGGUUGUCCCGCAUAUCAUAGAUUCCAAGACUCCUUGGCAGCUGGGAUUCCAGCCGAGCAAUGCCUAUCUUAAUUCAUCAUUGUUAAUGGAAAAGAUGGUGCUGGUGGAUGAUGGUGUCAAUGAUAGGAUGUAUGUACAUUAUCUCACCACAAUCCAGUUACUGUUAUUCUCAUGGUUAAUUAUUUCUAUAAUUGAUUUGUACAUUUUUUUAUAUUUACUCCAAUAUAUCGUAGGCCAUGCUUCAUUCAUUAUAUUCCAAAGUACAUAGAGGUCUUGACAGUUGCAGUCAAAUUGCAAUUUAUUGGCAAGUCAGAGGUGGCAAUGGAUUUAUUUGAUGCGAUCCUGAGGCGUUUCAAGCAGCUAGAUGAUGCAUUAUGUGUUGGCCAACCUUGUGCUUGUUGGAGACAUUUUGUUGAAUCUGACUUUGUGGCAUGUUCACUAUUAUUAUAACAUUGUGGUGUUUCCCUUUUCAUCAAUUUGAUCAAUGGCACAAUGAGUUUCAUUUCCACCCAUUAUUUUGAUCCAAUGUUCUUUUGAAUCCCUUUUGUAACAAUUUAAUGUUAUGUUACCAUCUGCCAAUUCACAGGGAUCCAUACUUGAUGGGUCAUUCGAUAUCAUGGACCCCUCCAUACGCGAACAAUUUGUUGGUCGGCUAUGAUGUCCCCCACUGCAAGAUGGUCAGUCCUCAGCUCAAUAAUAUUUCUUAUUAUAUGCAUCUAAAUUUCUUACUUUUACCAUAUUAAUGCUUAGCAUGCUCACGGUUCCUUUCCAUAACUCAUUCAUUUUCUAUAUAAGCUGUGAUGAUUUGAACAAAUUUUUGUAUACAGCUAUUCUUCCCUAGUUUGGUGGAGCACCGGUGGGUUGUCUAUGUUUGGAGCUGUGAAGAUAAUGUGAUUAUAAUAUUUGACCCUAGUGUAAGCUUUACACCAGCAUUCCAUGUGCAUGUGGUUAAGUUGCUUAAGAGUGCAUUGCGGGAGGUUGUUUUCAAACUUUUUGAUGGAUGGGAGCAAGAUUGGGAAUCAACUAAUUAAAAGUUGUUGAAAUUCACUGACACCACAAUAUCUUGGUAUGAAAUAGGGUAUUUAUUAUCAUCACUGUCUUGAUUGGAAACCAUGUCAUAACAACUACACAUUAUUAUUACAUGUUUUUCCAACAGUUUGUACAUUAAUGUAUUUAUUCUUGAUGUUGAUCUGGCAUAUUUUGCAGUCUGAAUCGCACCGGCGUAUUGUGUGCUCAUUUCUGUCAGCAGCUUUGAUGGUAAAAGCACAUUUGUGAGGCAUCACAAUGUAAGCUAGGAUGGAAUGCCCUUUCAUUAUAUGUUCUUUUCGUACGCCAGUUCGUUAGUAAUCGUGAUGCUAAAAACUUGUGUUUCCACAAGCCUUCAAAUCUCAAUAACCAUUUUUUUUCUUCAGUUCAGAUUACAGUAUUAAUUUUAGUAACCAUAAAUGUGUGUAUGCCAAUCGCACAGGUUGACACUGAACGCACUGCUGGUAUGCUUCUAGCGGAGGUCCUCAAGCUGUUCGAUAAUUAUGGGAAGGAAAAAGUCUAUAUAACCCCUAAUGUAUUGAUGGCAGACUACGUAACCCUCUCAACUAGAGAACCAGGUAUUGUGAUCUUUUUAAAGUAUCUAAAACCGUUCAAAUCGCCCCGUGGUUUUCUAAGAGGGUGUUUGGAUACCCCAUGUUAAACUUUAGCACUUGUCACAUCGAAUGUUUGAUACAAAUUAGGAGUAUUAAACAUAGUUUAAUUACAAAACUAAUUGCACAGAUGGAGUCUAAUUUACGAGAUGAAUCUAUUAGGACAAUGUGGUGCUACAGUAACCAUUUGCUAAUGGUGGAUUAAUUAGCCUUAAUAGAUUCAUCUCACGAAUUAGACUCCAUCUGUGCAAUUAGUUUUAUAAUUAGCUCAUGUUUAAUCCUUCUAAUUAGCAUUCGAACAUCCGAACAUUCGAUGUGCCCUGCUUAACACCCUAAAGCAGUUUUGCCAGCCACGCUGACACGGUUAGCCAAGUUGGCAUGUAGGCCCAGAUGUAAGUGGUGCAUUUAUUUUCUUUUCAGUUUUAACCCCCUCGUCACCGUUCCCCAAUCUCUCUCUUCCUGCUCUCUCGUGAAGUCGUCAUCCGCGCUGCCUGCGCCAUCUCCGCCGCCUCCACCGGGGCUGCUAUCGCCAUCUCCGCUGCCUCCACGAGGGCCGCCGAACAGAAGCUUCCUGUCAUCCGCGCGCCCGGUGAGCGAUGUGAAGAAGGACGGCGGCGCCGCAUCGGAUGGGUGGAAUACGGCUGGGCUUGGCACAUCCAGAUCAAGAGAUGCGGCAGGGGCCGCGGGCCUGGCACGAGUUGCUUGAGGAGUAGGAAUGCCGGCGUCGGCGAGGCGUCCCGCAAGAAGGUGACGAGCCGAGAUUUUUGCCUUUCGUGAAUCCGUCCGCCGCCAAAGGUCCUGGUGCGUGAGCGAGACUCUCUUUUCCUUCCCAAUUCCCAUGCAAGCAUCUUCCUUUUUCUUCUCCAAAUAGCAAAUCCACAACUGCUGCACGCUGGUCACUUUCCCAACUCCAACUCCAAGCUCCUUCCAAUCGCAGCCACCAAAUCCAAGCAGCCCACAUCAAUCUUGUCCCCCUGCACAAUUCAAUCCAUACACCAUAGAAGGCCAUCUCUUCCCUUCCCUGAUCUUCUUCACUAAAGGGUUAAUCAAGUCAGCAGCAGCAGUGCACAGCCAGGUGAGCCGCGUGCGUGCUCGCCCGCGUGCGCGCUGAGGCCAGACUCGGCCACUCAGGUGCCGUGUGAGGUGUGACAGGUCGAGGCAACGAGCGCGCUUGGCCGAGGCCGCAGCCAUUUUUUUAAGCCCUUUUGCGAAAGAUUCUCACAAAUAUACUACUGGCAGAACUAAUUCCAAAAAUGGAUCCUUGGCGCCAUCCACGCUGGCACCAAGCUUACACGUCUCGGCGUCAACCAUCCUGACGCCAAGGUCCAUGCGCAACUGCUAACGAGGAUGCCGACGUGGCGGGACCUUAGCGCCAUCCAUGAUGAUGGCGCCGUGGAUCUUGGCGCCAAGCUUGGCGUCGUAAACCUUGGCGCCAAGCUUGGCGUCGUAAACCUUGGCGCUGAGCAAUUUAUCUCAUGCCUCCUGAUGUUUCGAACGAAAUAAGUAUAAUUAUUCCGAGGAGUUUGCAACAAACUACAUUCUAGUUCAACUGGUUAGGACUUUUUUUCUACAUUUUAUUUUUUUCUUUUUGAUAUUUCCAGGCCAGAUUUGAUAUUUCAAAUUUCCCAUUGAAAAACGAGGGCUCCACGGAAUUAUUUGGACAACUUCACCCACUAUUUGAAUCCUAGGCAGCGUUCUUUUUUUUUCUUUUUGAAAAUAAUCUAGGCAAGGUUCUCAGGUCAUGUGGCAUGCCGGACGCAACGUACAAAAGCCAAGAAUUAAAGGCCCGCGUCAAAACUCACAACAUCCGAUCUAAUCCACGGAAAGCGUUUUCGGUGCUUCGGUCACGGGAUCGCAUUGAUUCCAUGCACGUACACACGCGUACGACGCGGCAGAAAGCAGUUGAGCUCGCUUGUUUGUCAGCGCAGUACACCUACGCCGUAGUACAAGGGAACAGAAUACGUAGAGGGGACGAGGGGAAUACGCGGAUUUAUACGCACCUACGGUGGCGGUGUUGAAGGUGGACACGCCGGGCGUGUCGGCGUUGAGAUCCCCGGUGAUCACCGUCUUGCCCACCUCAUGGAUCUUGGCGCCGGGAAUAAAAAAGAAAAAAAUGUAGAAAAAAAGAUUCAACAUAAGGUUUGAACUCAAGUUUUUGGAAUAAGAAGCCCACAUCCUAACCAGUUGAACUACAGUAUAGUUUGUUGCACACUUCUCGGAAUAAUUAUACUUGUUUCGUUCGAAACGUCAGGAGGCAUGGGAUAAAUUGCUCGGCGCCAAGCUUGGCGCCAAGAUCCACGACGCCAAGGCUUGGCGCCAUCACGUCGGCAUCCGCGUCAGCAACGGCGCACGGACCUUGGCGCUAGGAUGGCUGGCGCCAAGACGUGUAAGCUUGGCGCCAGCGUGGAUGAAAUCAAGCUAAGGGUCUAUUUUUGGAAUUGGUUCCGUCAGAGACGUAUUAUUUGUAAGAAUCUUUUGCAAAAAGGGCUAAAAAACAAAAAAGUCGGAGGCCGCAGCAGGCCAUGGCGAGUGGGCGGAUGCAGAUGCGCUGGGGUUCGGGCAAUGGGGCAAAGGCGCCCAGCACGGGCAAGCCGCGGUGAGCGGCCAUGGGAGCUAGGAGGAGAAGAGUGGGACCCUCACCUGCCCACUUACGAGUUGGGUCCACGUGCCAGAUGGCCACAUCUCAGUAGUUGAGGGGGUGAUGGGGUGAUGUAGUUUAAUCUUGAUAGUGGGGGUGUUACGUGGACUUUACAUCCCUCGGGCACUCCAAUAGAAGAUGAUUUUUUCGCCAGGUUCACACCACUCGUUAGUCAAAUUUGAGUUAGAGAGUGCCAUCGCCAUCACUUCUUUUUUUUUUGUCAAAUGCAAACAGACUGGAAAUCUAGGAAGAGAUAAUUUUCCUACGCCUAAUCUGCCCUUGUCCUUCUUGGCCUAGAGUAACCUGACCCCACGAAUAUAAUGGUCUCUCCCAGCUGUGAGACCGUUACCUUGUUCAUUUGUGAGCCUGUUAGAUUGAUUAUUUAAUCCUCCUAGUUAUACGCUUAAACGGCUGGUGCACCAUGCUAUAAAGAACUAGUUACAAAGGGAGAUGAGCCUGCUCUUAUAAAGGAGAGCGCUAGCCUUUCGUUUCCGGGGUUCGGUGCGGCGCUGCACGGACGCCGGCGCGUGAAAUAGCUUCCGUCCGGCUGUCGGCUCGCCUGAGAGGGGACGUCUACUGUCGCUUGCGUUGGGUCGGACGUUGCUGUCUCUCUGGAUGUGGACUUUAAAUAAUUUAGAUUUUAGAUGGCUGCCUUUGUGGCCCUGCUUCCUACAAAAUGGGUUGGAAGCAGGGCACCACAAAGGAACCUGUCAAGCGCAUAAUUCACAUGGUUAUAAGUGUUCAUGGGAGGAAAAAAAAAUUCAUGCAAUACUUUUUCAUGGUGCGAGAAACAGAUCAUGAGUUCCGUGCUUAAACUGCAAAGUGAUCUAUGUUCUUGGUUUCUACAGUAAAACAUGCUUCUGCCACAGCUUUCUCAUAUUUUGUGAGCCAUUACGAGGUUCGAGAGAAUUUAUCACUGAUCAAGCUGCUACCUGCUUGCCAAAUUUGCUACCGAUACCACCUUAUAAUCAAAUCGGACGCAUUUUGCAUCAUAUAUAUCUUUGCUGAUCACAUAACUGAAGUAAUGCUUAGUCAUUUCUAGAAUUAAAUGAAUUGGAUGCUACGUUUAAGAUAAGAACGAACUACCUACCUUGUCCUAAAUAUCAUAUAUUUAUGGACGUGUUUAACACAAGCUAGUCGAACUAUCUUGUCGUAAUCUGAGCGGAUCCUAAUCGUCAUAUAUUAGAAUGGGAGCCCGACCGACUUUUUUAUUUUUAUUACACGUGAAAAUGAUGUGCAGCCCAGCCUGCCCCAAAAACCACACGCCGAUAGUUCUCACAGGUGGGCCUAAUUAGGUAUUUUGAGCUUAAAAUGUCUCUCCUUUUGUCAGCCCGAUCCAGUCCAACUUUCGCUCAGGUCUACUUACUCAUUCCAUAGACAAUUCAAAGUUUCCAAAUUAUAAUCUAACGAAUUUUAUGUAAUUCUACCCAUAAGUGUUGUGUUGUGGGUUCCAAUUUCAUGAGAUGAUAUCCGGCAUCAUAAUCUACAUUACAUUCCAAUAGAAACAGAAGUGGGAUUAGUCCACGUAACAAUUGAAAUUAGUCCACGUAACACCCCCACUAUCAAGAUUAAACUACAUCACCCCCUCAACUACUGAGAUGUGGCCAUCUGGCACGUGGACCCAACUCGUAAGUGGGCAGGUGAGGGUCCCACUCUUCUCCUCCUAGCUCCCAUGGCUGCUCGCCUCGGCUUGCUCGUGCUGUGCGCCUUUGCCCCACUGCCCGAACCCCAGCGCAUCUGCCUCCGCCCGCUCGCCAUGGCCAGCUGCGGCCUCGGCCAAGCGCGCUCGUUGCCUCGACCUGUCACACCUCACACGGCACCUGAGUGGCCGAGUCUGGCCUCAGCGCGCACGCGGGCGAGCACGUUUUGGCACGCACGCGGCUCACCUGGCUGUGCACUGCUGCUGCUGACUUGAUUAACGCUUUAGUGAAGAAGAUCAGGGAAGGGAAGAUAUGGCCUUCUAUGGUGUAUGGAUUGAAUUGUGCAGGGGGACAAGAUUGAUGUGGGCUGCUUGGAUUUGGUGGCUGCGAUUGGAAGGAGCUUGGAGUUGGAGUUGGGAAAGUGACCAGCGUGCAGCAGUUGUGGAUUUGCUAUUUGGAGAAGAAAAAGGAAGAUGCUUGCAUGGGAAUUGGGAAGGAAAAGAGAGUCACGCUCACGCACCAGGACCUUUGGCGGCGGACGGAUUCACGAAAGGCAAAAAUCUCGGCUCGUCACCUCCUUGCGGGACGCCUCGCCGACGCCGGCAUUCCUACUCCUCAAGCAACUCGUGCCAGGCCCGCGGCCCCUGCCGCAUCUCUUGAUCUGGAUGUGCCAAGCCCAGCCGUAUUCCACCCAUCCGAUGCGGCGCCGCCGUCCUUCUUCACAUCGCUCACCGGGCGCGCGGACGACAGGAAGCUUCUGUUCGGCGGCCCUCGUGGAGGCAGCGGAGAUGGCGAUAGCGGCCCCGGUGGAGGCGGCGGAGAUGGCGCAGGCAGCGCGGAUGACGACUUCACGAGAGAGCAGGAAGAGAGAGAUUGGGGGACGGUGCCGAGGGGGUUAAAACUGAAAAGAAAAUAAAUGCACCACUUACAUCUGGGCCUACAUGCCAACUUGGCUAACCGUGUCAGCGUGGCUGGCAAAACUGCUGUAGGGUGUUAAGCAGGGGGCACAUCGAACGUGCGGAUGCUAAUUAGAAGGACUAAACAUGAGCUAAUUACAAAACUAAUUGCACAGAUGGAGUCUAAUUCGCGAGAUGAAUCUAUUAGAGCUAAUUAAUCCAUCAUUAGCAAAUAGUUACUGUAGCACCACAUUGUCAAACAAUGGACGAAUUAGGCUUAAUAGAUUCAUCUCGUAAAUUAGACUCCAUCUGUGCAAUUAGUUUUGUAAUUAAACUAUGUUUAAUACUCCUAAUUAGUAUCAAACAUCCGAUGUGAUGGGUGCUAAAGUUUAACACGGGGUAUCCAAACACCCUCUUAGAAAACCACUUCAGGGGGUGAUUUGAACGGUUUUAGAUACUUUAAAGGUCACAAUACCUGGUUCUCUGGUUCUCUAGCGGUUUCUCUCUGCCACUCCUCUCCUAUGUUCUUCAUCUGAUCUACAAUACUUUUCUAGCUCUAUGAAUAGGGCUUCCAUUGUUUUUGGCUUUUUCCUUGAUAGCUUCGAGGCUGUUGGGCCUAGGUUGAGCCCGUUGAUGCAGGCUGCUAUGGCCACACUAUCCUCUACAUCUGCAGUUUGCGACUUGAGCUGGACAAAUCUUCUCACAUAGCUUGCGAGAGGUUCUUUAUCUUUUUUGCACACAAUUGAAUAGAUCCCCCUUAUCAGUCACGGCUCUGUGAAAGCCUUGGAAGUUUUGUACUAGCUUGGAUUUGAGAUCUAUCCAGCUGUAUACUUACUGCGGUGGGAGUAGAGAGUACCAAUUCAAUGCCGCGCCCUCGCAUGCUAUUAUAAAAGACUUUGCUAGCACUACGCCAUCUCCUGCUGCCAAGGUUAUGGUUGUUUCGUAGCUCAAGAGGAACUGGCGAGGAUCUGUUUACCCGUUAAACUUUGGCAGUGUAACUGCUUUAUAGGUUAUUGGCCAUGGGGUUGUUUGUAAGCCUAAGGAUAAUGGAGAGAUUUUGUCGAUCAUUGUGGAUGCGCUCGUUGUCACUGGGGUGUUGUGUCCAACGAGGCUGGGAUUUGGGUGUAUUAUGGGUGUGCCAUUGGUGCCGAAAGUUGGAAGUGGUGUCUGUGGUGGCUGUUGUGGUGUAUUAUGGAAGUAUUGCAACUCGUUCAGCUCUUGCUGCAACUCUGCUAGCUGCCUUUUGGCCUCGUUUAGCUUUGCCAGCUUGUUGGCUGCUAAUCUUUGCGCCUAGAGUUCUUGAGCAAAUUUUUCUUUUUCUUUCUUCAGCGCUUCUAGUUAUUUUAGUGCCGAGACUAGGUCAUCUUCUGUUUCACUAAGGGGAUCAUUAUGCAUGUUUACUUGCGGCUGUGCUUGGCUUGAGGUCUCCGCCUCCAUUCUCCUUUUUUUCACUUCUCGUUCUUAGGUUAGACUCGAUUCUUUUUUGUUUUUCUACCUUAUCAGUGUUGUCUUGCUCGACCGAAACGAGUUGCUUUUCUUGCCCCUCGUCCUGGGUGGUCCUCUUCUUCUUCUAGGGUGGUGGGUUACUUGUUGGCUCAGACCACGAUGGGCGCCAAUGUUGGGAAACAAAUCUGAAGGAGACUCGAACACAGCAAUGUUAGAGAAGUUCUCGUGGUUCAAUUCUAAAAAAUGAGCAUCCAUUUACAUCAGGGUAGGGCUCCCCUUUUAUAGUGUCCGGAGGACACUUUACAUUCCGCGAUUACCCUUACUCAACCACUACAUUUCUAUAAUAUGCUAUACAUAAAGGUCUUUUGGAGGUAACUUGUACGAUUUAGUCUCCUCCAUCGAGUCGCGCUUCUCACGCCUUCAGACAAUCCCGUGAAUCACGCUCUCAGACAAUCCCGAGAAUCACGCCUUCACGUUUUCAACGCCUCCACGCCUUUAAUCUCGCACCCAAAGCCAUGUUAGCCUCGUGCCUUGAAGUUAUCUUAGCCUCGCACUAGAGAGGUGCCAGCCUCAUGCCCUGGUUCUUGGCUUGUUCAUUCCAACGACCCUGUGUGAGACACAGUAAACAACUCGACGCUCGGGGUUAGCUUCGAGUACUCGAGGGUAAGCUUUGUUAUAGCCUAGUGAUCAGCGAUUAUCUCUUGGCUUCGAGAUUGAAUUUACAGAGGCGACGUGAAGCUAGCACUACUUUCACGCCAGACCGGCCCCUUGAGAUUAGGGACCUUCGCCCGAAGUUAGGGGGUGUUUGGAUACCUCGUGCUAAACUUUAGCACCUGUCACAUCGGAUGUUCGGAUGCUAAUUAGGAGGACUAAACAUAGUUUAAUUACAAAACUAAUUGCACAGAUGGAGUCUAAUUCGUGAGACGAUCGAGUUGUUUACUGUGUCUCACACAGGGUCGUUGGAAUGAACAAGCCAAGAACCAGGGCAUGAGGCUGGCACCUCUCUAGUGCGAGGCUAAGAUAACUUCAAGGCACGAGGCUAACAUGGCUUUGGGUGCGAGAUUAAAGGCGUGGAGGCGUUGAAAACGUGAAGGCGUGAUUCUCGGGAUUGUCUGAGAGCGUGAUUCACGGGAUUGUCUGAAGGCGUGAGAAGCGCGACUCGAUGGNNNNNNNNNNNNNNNNNNNNNNNNNNNNNNNNNNNNNNNNNNNNNNNNNNNNNNNNNNNNNNNNNNNNNNNNNNNNNNNNNNNNNNNNNNNNNNNNNNNNNNNNNNNNNNNNNNNNNNNNNNNNNNNNNNNNNNNNNNNNNNNNNNNNNNNNNNNNNNNNNNNNNNNNNNNNNNNUUAGGUUUAAUAGAUUUGUCUCACGAAUUAGACUCCAUCUGUGCAAUUAGUUUUGUAAUUAAACUAUAUUUAGUCCUCCUAAUUAGCAUUCGAACAUCUGAUGUGACAGGUGCUAAAGUUUAGCACGGGGUAUCCAAACACCCCUUAAUUAUUUUACGAAGCUAGGUGGUUCAUGCUGAACGAAACAACCUCGAGGAUGACUGUCUUUUUGGCGUCUGACUUCUAGACGUCUGUGCCAUCUUGCCAUGCCGCGCGAUAUCUUCACAAUGAAACUGUUUGCACAGCCCAGGCAUUCUUCAUGGAGGAAGCAUGUUUUAGUACCUGGAACAAUCCACUUCAUCCGUUUGACCUUAUCUACAAAGUAUCGACUCAAUAAGUGCUCCAAACAAUUCAAAUUGGUCUAAAUUCACCCUAAAUAAUUUUUUCUCCGUGUGCAAGUUGUGUUUCAUAUUCAAAUUUUGGUAGGGUGUACUUGGCAUUACAUGCUAUUUUCAAACUAUUUCAGACUUUUUGGUAUUAAUAAUUUCAUAUGUUUAGAUAGUUUGAUAUUAGUUUAUUUGUAAGAUAUGAAAAUGCAUGGAAUGUAAUGUAGAUUAUGAUGCCGGAUAUCAUCUCAUGAAAUUGGAACCCACAACACAACACUUAUGGGUAGAAUUACAUAAAAUUCAUUAGAUUAUAAUUUGGAAACUUUGAAUUGUCUAUGGAAUGAGUAAGUAGACCUGAGCGAAAGUUGGACUGGAUCGGGCUGACAAAAGGAGAGACAUUUUAAGCUCAAAAUACCUAAUUAGGCCCACCUGUGAGAACUAUCGGGGUGUGGUUUUUGGGGCAGGCUGGGCUGCACAUCAUUUUCACGUGUAAUAAAAAUAAAAAAGUCGGUCGGGCUCCCAUUUUAAUAUAUGACGAUUAGGAUCCGCUCAAAUUACGACAAGAUAGUUCGACUAGCUUGUGUUAAACACGUCCAUAAAUAUACGAUAUUUAGGAUAAGGUAGGUAGUUCGUUCUUAUCUUAAACGUUAUAUAUUCAAGGAGGGAGUAUGGUUGUAGCAUCCAAUUCAUUUAAUUCUAGAAAUGACUAAGCAUUACUUCAGCUAUGUGAUCAGCAAAGAUAUAUAUGAUGCAAAAUGCGUCCGAUUUGAUUAUAAGGUGGUAUCGGUAGCAAAUUUGGCAAGCAGGUAGCAGCUUGAUCAGUGAUAAAUUCUCUCGAACCUCGUAAUGGCUCACAAAAUAUGAGAAAGCUGUGGCAGAAGCAUGUUUUACUGUAGAAACCAAGAACAUGGAUCACUUUGCAGUUUAAGCACGGAACUCAUGAUCUGUUUCUCGCACCAUGAAAAAGUAUUGCAUGAAUUUUUUUUCCUCACAUGAACACUUAUAAUCAUGUGAAUUAUGCGCUUGACAGGUUUCUUUGUGGUGCCCUGCUUCCAACCCAGUUUGUAGGAAGCAGGGCCACAAAGGCAGCCAUCUAAAACCUAAAUUAUUUAAAGUCUACAUCCAGAGAGACAGCAACGUCCGACCCAACGCAAGCGACAGCAACGUCCCCUCUCAGGCGAGCCGACAGCCGGACGGAAGCUAUUUCACGCGCCGGCGUCCGUGCAGCGCCGCACCGAACCCCGGAAACGAAAGGCUAGCGCUCUCCUUUAUAAGAGCAGGCUCAUCUCCCUUCCUUCCUCGCGCCUCCUCCCAUGCAUUACUUUCCCCGAGAAGAGCCCUCUUGUUCUUCCUCGUCUCCGGCGUCCGAACGCGCCGGCCGUCUCUCCUGUGUGCGCCGCCGCGCAAGGUGAGCGUCUCGUCGUCUCGGGCAACCAAAGCACCAACCUGACCCGCAUCGCCAUGGUGAUCACGUUCCGGUUCAUCUCUUUCUCGUUCCAGGCCUGGAGACGCGAGGGGAAGCACCAAUCCGUGGCGGCCGUGAUCUUUCCUCGCCGGUAAAUCCUUUGUGGAAAUUAAAAUCAAUGGAUUUUGAGGUGAAAGUGGUAGAGUCUUCAUUUGUGGCGCCGAGCGAGCCGACACCGAGGCAGGGGCUCUGGUUGUCUUCCCUGGACAUCAUGUUGGCCAGUAGAGGCCACACACCAACAGUCUACUUGUUUCACUCCGAUGACACCGCGUCCGAUUUCUUCGACGUGGCCAGGCUCAAGGAGGCCAUGGCCAAGGCCUUGGUGCCCUUCUUCCCACUCGCUGGCCGCCUCGCCGUCGAUGGCAGCGGUAGGGUAGAGAUCGACUGUAACGGCGAGGGCGCACUCUUCGUUGUCGCUCGCUCUGAUAUCACUGUUGACGACGAGAUCAAAGACGUCAAGCCGUCGCCGGAGCUAAGGAGGCAGCUUGUUCCACGCAUCGAGCCAUCGUCCGUAGUAUUGGCCGUACAGGUCUGCAACUUCUCCUAAAUUAUAUUAGUGCUUCCAUGCUUCCUCAAUCAUAUGUCAAUUUGCAUCGGUACAUGAUGUGUGUGUGUGUGUGGAUGCAUGUUUAAUUGCAUUGCAGGUGACGUUCUUCAAGUGUGGAUGGGUGGCGUUAGGGACGGCCCUCCACCACGCCGCCAUCGACGCCAUGAGCGCGAUUCACUUCUUCCAGACAUGGUCGGCCUUCUCCAGGGACGGCGAACGCGCCGCCGUGGAGCCCCCCUGCCACGACCGCACCCUCCUCCGCGCACGGUCCCCGCCCACCGUCCACCCCGACGCUCUCUCGACGUUCUACCCCAAGCUCGCCUUCUCCGAUCCGUCGGGACCUCUCGCCACCAAAGUCUUCACCAUUUCCAAGGACCGGAUCGCCUCGCUAAAGCGCCUGUGCGGCGGCACGAGCACGUUCCGCGCCGUGAGCGCCCUCGUGUGGCGGUGCGCGUGCGUCGCGCGGCGGCUCCCGCCGGAUUCCGAAGCCCGCUUCACCGCCCCGGUCAACAUCCGGCGCCGGGUGAAUCCGCCCCUCCCGGAACGCUACUUCGGCAACGCGUUGGUCAGGGUGGUCGUCGCCGCCGCCGCGCGGGAUAUCACCUCGGAGGCGUUGGCGUCCGUCGCCGGCCGCAUCGGAGCCGCCAUCGGUCGGGUGGACGACGAGCUGGUGCGGUCCGCGAUCGACUACUACGAGAUGGCAGGUACGGGCAGCCAGUCGUCGGCGAAGGGCACCCUGCCGGAGACCGAUCUACAGGUUAUCAGCUGGCUGGGCAUGCCGAUUUACGACGCGGACUUUGGGUGGGGGAAGCCGCGAGUGAUGUCUCGUGCGGAGUCCAACCGCGGCGGGUUUGUUCACCUCAUGAACAACGGGCCGGCAGACGGCGCCGGCGGUGUCAGCGUGCUCAUGUGCAUGGAGGCUGCAAAUAUGAAGGAGCUGGAGCGGCUGCUCUAUGAAGCUCUGGCCAGAUGCUAGUGGCUUUCAUGCGGAAGCUUAUUGGUAUUGUAAUUGUUUCUCUCAGUAGUUGUUGUGCUCAUUCUGAAUUUUUUUUAUAUAACCGGCAGAUUAGUUCGUUUCAAAAGGUUACUCUUUAUUUCUCCUAAAUCUCAACCAAGUGGCAAUCAAUCUAGGAGGAUUAAAUUAUUCGUGGGGUCAGGUUAGGCGUAGGAAAAUUAUCUCUUCCUAAAUUUCCAGUCUGUUUGCAUUUGACAAAAAAAAGAAGUGAUGGCGAUGGCACUCUCUAACUCAAAUUUGACUAACGAGUGGUGUGAACCUGGCGAAAAAAUCAUCUUCUAUUGGAGUGCCCGAGGGAAAUUAGGGUUUAGGGAAAAUUGAAAUGUAAUGUAGAUUAUGAUGCAAUGUAGGAAUGUAAUGUAGAUUAUGAACGCUACUUCGGCAUCAUGGGGCUCAACCCAGGCCCAAUAGCCUCGAAGCUAUCAAGGAAAAAGCCAAAAACAAUGGAAGCCCUAUUCAUAGAGCUAGACAAGUAUUGUAGAUCGGAUGAAGAACAUAGGAGAAGAGUGGCGGAGAGAAACCGCUAGAGGCAAGCUGAAAAAGACCAAAACUAGCAAGCCUCGCGCUACAAUCACCAGCAACAUCAGCACUUGCACCCAGCCCAACAAGUGCUGGCGAUCGAGGCUAAUCAACCCUCGCACCAAAACUAAAACCAAAACCAAGGUCAAAACCAAAACUGAAACUACCAACAUCAACCAAACUUUGGCAGCAGCCAGAGGGGCGGCUAUGCCAAAAGGGGAAGAGGCCGAGGCAGAGGGCCCCCGAGGCCAAAUAACCAAAGUAACCAACAGAGACCAUUUUACUGUAUAUUCCAUGGCAAACAACAUGACCAUGCAACUGAUUUUUGCCCUGAAGCAAAAAGACUUUUGAAAGGAUGGUCGAAGAAAAAAAAGUGGCCCAGGCACCCAAGACCAUCCACUAUACUACCUUCUAGCCGCAACCACCAUACUACCUAAAACCCAACCUCCCAACCUUCCAACCCGCCAUGAUGUGAACACGAUCAUACACGAUGGUCCCCCAGCCAAACCAGAGUGGGCACACAUGCCCAUCUCUUUACGGAAGAAGAUUUUAAAUUGAAAACAGCCUUGCAUAACGAUGCGCUGGUGAUCAAGGCCAUUAUUGCUGGCUAAAAAAUAGGGAAGGUCCUAGUGGACAAUGGAAGUUCUGCGGAUAUCAUCUUCGCAAAUGCCUUUAGAGAAAUGAAAAUCGACCCACACUUGCUCGAGCCGGUGGAAGUCCUGUUGCUUGGCUUUGGGGGAGGCCGGUUAAAGCCUUAGGAAAAAUCACACUCGCGGUUUCAUUUGGAAAUCUCGACAAUGCAAGAAUAAAACAUAUAACAUUCGAUGUGGUUAAAAUGUACUACCCCUACUUUGCCAUCCUCGGGAGAGGGUUCAUCAACAAGUUCGAUGCAGCAAUUAGGCAACUAUUUUUAUGUAUGAAAAUCCCAGCCUUGAAAGGAGUCAUCACGGUCUACGGAGACCAGCAAACUGCCAGAAAUAUAGAAAAAUACGUAACUCCCGGACAAAAGAAUUUCCAUCACUUAACGACCCCUUACGAGGUUCAGCCGCAAGAAAAGAAAAAGGCAUAUGCUGAGCCCAAGAGGGACAAAGAGAAGGUGAAGAUAAGCGAGGAUGGCGAAACAAAGACAGUCCUGCUGGAUGACUAUGUCAUGGAUAGAUAUAUCACAAUAGGGGCUAACCUCGAGCCCGAGGAGGAGAAAUAAUUAAACGAAUUUCUAAACAAAAACAAAAAUGUUUUUGCCUGGUCUGCCAAUGACCUCCAAGGGGUUGACAGGGACAUAAUCGAGCACGGCCUCGACAUAAAACCAGGUGCGAAGCCAAAAAAGCAAAAACUCAGGAAAAUGUUAAAAGAAAAAGCCCAAGCUGUGAAAUAUGAAGUUGAAAGACUCCUCGAGGCCAACGUCAUACACCCGAUCAUCUACCCAGAAUGGCUGGCCCACACCGUACCAGUCAAGGAAAAGAUUGGCAAGUGGAGAAUGUGCAUAGACUUCACUGACCUAAACAAGGCAUGCCCAAAAGACGACUAUCCAAUGGAAAGAGUGGAUAAGGUGGUGGACGAUGCUGCAAACAGCAAAACGUUAUUGCUGUUGGACUUAUUCUCGGGGUACCAUCAAAUUCGAAUAAAAAAAGAAGAUGAAGGAAAAUUUGGUUUCAUAACACCCUUUGGAACUUUUUGCUUCGUGGGGAUGCCCGAGGGGCUAAAAAAUGCAGGCAAACUUUCUCAAGAAUGAUAGCAAUAAUCUUAUCCAAACAGCUUCGCAGAAAUAUCCUAGCUUAUGUCAAUGACAUAGUCGUAAAAAGUGAUAAGAGGAAAGAUCACAUACUUGACCUCGCGGAAACAUUUGCUAAUUUAAGAGCAGCAAACCUGAAACUCAACCCAGAGAAAUAUGUGUUCGGGGUUCAGCGGGGUAAAGUCUUAGGAUGCCUGGUUUCAACGAAGGGCAUCCAGGCCAACACGGACAAAAUCCAGGCACUUGUUGAUAUAAGGAACCCAGCCUCGGUGAAAGAUGUGUAGAGAUUGACGGGAAGUAUCCCAGCCCUUAACAGGUUCAUUCCAAGAGCUGCAGAACAAAGCUUACCAUUUUUCCAAGUGCUUCGAAACUCUAAAAAGUUUGAGUUUUUGCGCAACCACGUGAUGAAAACUUGUGUUUCUGUGCAAGAAAUUUAAAGCAACGACAAGUUGCCUAACCUCGUAUUUCUAUGCAAAUAUAGCAUGCGUUUUUAUGCAAUAUACAUAAGGCAACAAUUAAGUUGCAAAACCUCAUUUUCUACGCGCCAUAUACACCAAGGGUUGCCAUAUCAACCAAACUAUCGUUAUAUUUCUAAGUCAACAAAACUCGAGAACAAGUUUUCUGUUGACUUAUCUUGUAGAUUGUUAAAAUUCAUCUAACCUCGUUCACGCAAAAAGGUAAGAAGGGCGAGGGUGAUGCUUUUUUGAAAAGGGAAAGCCUACGCAUCUCACCUCUCGCCAUCUCUUCUAAGUCAACCAAACUCGAAAACAAGUUUUUCGUGGACUUAUCCUCUAGAUCUUAAAGUUGUAUCUAAGUUCAAUCUCUUUCACGAUAAAGGAUGAAAAGGGGGGCGUGAUGUUUUUUGACAGACAAAAAUUGUUUUCAUCCUCUUUCUGUAAGAAAACAGCCUCGAGUAAAACACUCUAACAAAAGGGCAGGGGGGUGAUGUUUUUUUUUUAAAAAAAACACUUCUCAUCCCUUUGUUCUCGGAGUUUCAUCUCGAGCCCAACAAACAAAUCUCCAUCAUUCAGCUCGAGCAACAAACACAGAAGCUCAACCAAAAUCUACGCAUAAAGGAGCUAGGGGGUGACGUUUUUCAAAAAAGAAAGCACGACACUCGCUCCUUCAUGCUGCAAUUUUAGUUACCAAGCAAAUGAUAUCACACAAACAUCACAGCCUCAAGAUACAAGAAUUCGCAAGGAUACGAAUAGUAAAGCAUUCAAAUAUUAAAGGCAACUAGUUCGAAGCACUUGGCACCAACCAAACAACUAAUAUUUACAUCACGGUCCGCAAAAGCAUCCCAUCAAAGUGUUAAAUGUAUCAUUACAAAAGACUAUGGUCAACAAUGCAAAUUCUCAGUUAGGCCUCGAGCAAGUUGAUUUGUAAAAAGCAUCCUUCUCCCGGUCAAAGCCAUUGCUUCCGCCUCCACCCUUGCCUUUGGAUUCCUCCUCCUUAGUUUGUGAAAAAAUAAAAAAUCAUCAAAAAACGAGCCAAAAAUAAGAGAGAUAAACGCAAGAUCAAAUGAACCCCGACCUGCACAAGUUGCUUUUGAGCAACGAGCCUCGCGGGUUCUCGCCCAAAAGUAGCACAAAUUUGUUUGUAAAAGUUCAACUCCACGGCUCUCACAUUCUUGGACUUCUCCUUUGCAUGAAUCUCCAAGGCCAAGGGAAACUUGUGGGUACUAGCUGCGAACUUUAAGAAAUACGAACAACCACUCUCUUCAAGAAGAUGAAACAUGCUUUCAAUACAAAAGGAAGCAGCUAAGUUGCUAACCCCAGCCAAAACAAUAGUAAAAGCAAUAAGCGUCGGAUAUACUACCUUAUACUCAAGGGUAGCCAACAUCCUAGCCAGGUCAUUGGGCUCAAAGUGACAGGAAGAUCUUUCAUCCUUUGUCAAAAGCAAGACACAACAGAAAAAUAGGGAAACAAAAUUAACCGCAAUCAAAGUUGAGCAGAAAGACAAACACUAACUCUCGGGGUCAAAAGCUUUAUCCUCAUAGUCACCCUCGGCAGGCGCCUUGGACUUUUCAGGGGCAUGAGCAGGACGGAUCUCUCCCUCUUCUACAGCCUCUUCCUCCUCAGCCUCGCCCCCGUCACCCCUAGACUUCCUCAAAACUACCUUCGCCACUUCAUCUACAGCACGCAUCGCACCCUUAGCACCCCAUAGCAAAGGCAAGUUGUACGGGUUGUCAUCCUCACCUAACCCCGAAACAUGAACCAAAGAGCUUGUUGUAGCUUUCCAAAGAUGGGGACAAAUCAGAAUCUGCAGGAUAAAAUUUCAUCCUAAAUAUCAGAGGAGGUUCGUCGUAUGCCUCUCCAACUGCGCCAAUAGUCUUUUGCAGCUCCCUCAAAAAAUCUAGCAGAGGUGCGGCUGGAAUCUACAAAGCUCAGCUUAGGCAAACGUGCAAAGACAUUUUUACCUGGCUUUGCCAGCUCCAGGGCAGGCAUCCCGCUUUUCUUCCCAGUGUAGCCUCGAGAGUCGCUUCCACCCGAGGAUUAGCCUCGGGGCGUGGAGAAGACACGACAGCUUUUGUUUAGGCAUCCUUUGCAGGAACGCUAGCUUCAGAGUCUAGGGUAGGAACCAAGGACAGGUCCACAUCCAGAAAAAUGUCUUCAUCUUCAUCAAUAGCCUUGGCAACACAGGACUUUCUUGCAGAUCUCUUAACUUUCAUACUAGCAAGCGCGCCGGCAGCCUCGAGCUCAGGCUUGGUCACGACUAGAGGCACAGAGGAUUUUGUAGCUUUGCCCAAAGAGCUGUGACCAUGUUUUUCCUUCUUCUUCUGAGCCUCAAGGCUGGAGGUCCUUAGCUUCGAUUUAGCAGCCUCGCUUAUGAUGCUCGCCUGGGCAUCAUCUUUCUUUGCAGCCGCAGCCGCAGCCUCUGGGACAGCGCUCUCAAUUUUCUUAUUUUUUUUUCCUUUGCCUCCCCCGCCAAUCUCUAUCGAGCCAGUCAUGCUGGGCUCGCGCAUUCGCUUGGAAACCUUGCGAGGCUUCGACCGAGACACAACCUCAACUCCAAGCUCUUCAAACACUUGAUUAACUCGAAGCUGAUGCUCGAUGAUCUUCCGAGAAGAUGACAAUUCAUUCUCAUGGCAGGGGCCAAUAAUGUCUAUGGCCCGCCUCUCAACCUCCUCUACAAAAGUCCAGGGUUGACCCUCUCGGGCAAGUCCAGCCCAAACCAAGGGUACGGGAACGAGCCGGUGCGCCACAGGACAUCUUUCUGAACAAUCUCCUCUGGCUCCCAACCUUCAGAAAGAGGCUUGAUAUUCGCCACCACGAACUCCUCAAUAAGGUCCCGUCCAGUCAUCGACUUCGAGGCUAAGAAAAAAGCAUUCUCGCACUGCUUAACAACUUUGGUCUUUGAAAAAGGGGGCGUAGUAGAGACGUCCAAUGGGCCCAACGGGGCAUAAAAGGGGUAAAGUGAUCAGUUGAUGCCAAUUGCAUUAGCCAUGUCAACCUUAAUGUAAAACCAGUAGCUUAGCCACUCGUCAUCCCAUUUAUUCUUCUGUGCUAAGGAAAGUUCCACCCUCACAAUCUUCUGCUUCUCAUUUUUCCUCCGGGUCGUGAAUGUACAACACCCGAACACGUCUCGAAGGUGCCCUCUUCAUCAUCAAAUCAAACCCUCUUCCGUUGGAUAUGAAGUUCGAACAACCUCACGAAAUCAUCCACAUCAAUCGACCUACCAAACGUGCGCUGAACCCAAUAAAACUUGGAGAGAGCAACAAAGGCAUUUGGGGUAAGAUGGUGAAGCUUCGCCCUGUAUCGGUCCAAAAUCUUAUGCAGAUCCUUGUCACAUGGAAAUCUCAAUCCGACGUUGAAAGUCCCUGAACACAACAGCCUCUCCUACCUAAGGUGUUGGCACGAUCUCAUCACCCGGAGCCCUUGAAACACCCUCGGAAAGUAACCCUUGCUGAUGUAAAACUCUAUAGUAUUCUUGGAAACCAAAGAUCUCCUGAACCGCAGGGUGGGAGGGUAUACUUCUUUGCUAGCCACCAACUCCGAUGGGUCGGCCUAGGUCCUCCCCACUGUCAGCAGCAGCCUCGAGAUCCCCACUGUCUGCGGUACCCUCGUCCGGGUAAACCUCAUUAGCGGCAUCCUCAAUAGCUUCAACCAACUCCACGUCUUCCCCAGCCUCGAUGCAAAGCCUCGAUUGUUCAGCAAAUUCUUCGGUGGUCAUAGACCUUGCGGUUUGCAUCAUACGAGCCAGCUGAGCAAUAAUCAAAUGUCAAGUCAAAAUAAAAACAACAAAAUGAAACACAAACAAAAAAGUAAAAUACCCACAAGAUCAUUACCUUCAACACUUUGGAGAACAAGGCAGAAAGCAUGCAACGCACAAAUCUAAAAGCAACAAGCAGCGCGCAAAAAGCAAGUGGUAAGUGAAGAUUCAACACGCGAGGGCAAAAAUGAAAGCGACCCCCCCUUUUAUAGGCGUGGUAACAAGCGCAAAACAGUGCCUUAAACCUUGAGCCAAAUACGAAGGGUCAUCCAAUAAGAAAUCGGCACGUAUGUUACAAAAGGUAACUGUUGGCUCAUUUCUCACCGACACUUGAGGGUGACAUUUUUUGGGAGAAGAUCCUCAAGUUGCGGGUUCGGCUGCCGGUGUCGACCCUCGCCCACGAGGGGCUACUAUUGGGGAUCACCCAAAAAGACGGUCACCCUCGAGGCUGUUGUGUUCGGCAUAAACCAUCUGGCUUUGCAAAACAAUUAACUUUGGGCAAGGGUCCCUAGUCUCAAGGGGCCGGUCUGGCGUGAAAGUAGUGGUAGCUUCGCGUCGCCUCUGUAAAUUCAGUCUCGAAGCCAAGAGAUAAUUGCUAAUCACCAGGCUAUAACGAAGCUUACCCUCGAGCGCUCGAAGCUAACCCCAAGCGUCGAGUUGUUUACUGUGUCUCACGCAGGGUUGUUGCAACGAACAACCCAAGAACCAGGGCACGAGCCUGGCACCUCUCUGGUAUGAGGCUAUGAUAACUUCAAGGCAUGAGGCUAACAAGGCUUUGGGUGUGAGAUUAAAGGCGUGGAGGCGUUGGAAAUGUGAAGGCAUGAUUUGCGGAAUUGUCUGAGAGCGUGAUUCAUAGGAUUGUCUGGAGGCGUGAGAAGCGUGACUCAGCGGAGGAGACUAAGUUGCACAAGUUACCUCCAAAAGACUUUUAUGUAUAGCAUAUUCUAGGAAUGUACUGGUUGAGUAAGGGUAAUCACAGAAAGUAAAGUGUCCUCCGAGAUACUAUACAAGGGAGUCCUACCCCGAUGCAAACGGAUGCUCAUUUUUUAGAAAUGAACCACGAGAACUUCUCUAACAUUGUUGUGUUCGAGUCUUGUUCUGAAGCGUCCCCACAUAAGUAGAGACUAAAUGUGUUACAAAUAACAGUCCCAGGAGGUUGAUAACAUAUUUAUUCAACAGAUGGUUCAUAAACCGUACAACUCCCGAGGGAGUGGGCACGAAAGCCAUGCUGAAAUGACAAGUAAAUAAACAACAGCAGCGAGCCAAGCUACUGUCAAGAGAUAGCACUCAGGACUACAUGAUAGCGGAAGCAUUCUGCAAAGGCCAACACCACAGGCAGUGUUGGGUGUGGAAACGACCUCUUACUCGAAAUACUCGGCGACCAAGUUCGGAUCUUCCUUUGAAGCAACAAAACAAGGGUGAGUGCAAAAGUACUCAACAAGUCCAACCCCAUCUACGGAGGGGGAUACAAUCAAGAAUAUGCAUAGGAUAUAUCAAGGAUAAGGCUAAGAUUUAUUUGCAAUAAAGUUAGAUUUUCAAACAUGCAAGGGUUCAUUUUCAAAAGGGUUUUCACAAAGUAUUUCUUUAGUAAUCGAAUCAUUAAGUAGGGGGUGAUCCUACACAAAGGAUCCAAGUUUUAAUGCUACCAGACUCCCCAUCUGCAGUAGCUCACGGCACAACUGUCGAACACUUCCAAAAUCCAAGACACGCCAUGAAAAUCAUCCAUCUCCAAGCACUAGUUAUGUGACCAAGCCAUAACUCAUCCAAUACCGUGGACACGGCUACCCAAAUAGGUUUUAACUCUGCAGAUGUUGUACACUUUACCCACAAGUGGGGUACCGCAACAUGAUCACCUUAGUGUCGGUGCAGAUCCUAUGAAAGCCAUUACCCACCUUAGCUAAGCCUGACUAGCCAACACGGAAGCAACCAAGAGGUUAAUGACCUACCGAUGAGGUCUUAACUGGGACCUAAGUCACAAAGAUCUUACUCCUUCUCCAUGGUCUCCCGUUCCUCACCAACUCUCCUGAUGACUAAUAGACUAGCUAGUGGGAUUUAUGCAAAGCCGUUGCCGCAUACAACGGUCGAGUGGUUCCACGAUGGUUGGGUUAGGCAAGAUGACACAUCAACUCGGCGCUUAAUUUGUAACAAGAUGGAUAUCUUCCAACCUUGCUCAACCACCAAGAUAUGAGCCCAACUUAUUGGCAUUUCACACAAGAAACACCCAUCCAUCUCAUCUAAGAAUUUCUUUCUUUUAUUUCCAAAAACCCAUUUUCCCUUUUAAAAAUCCUCACAUAUUUAUUCUUUAACAAAACACAUUGUAGUCAUGAUUGAAUUGAGUAACAAGAUCCUAAGCAUUCUAGCAGUAAUUAUCAUCCAAACAGAGCAAAUCAUAUUUAGAGAUAAUUAUAGGACAAUCAAGGAAUAUUCACAACAAUCAAGGGGUGGCUAUCCAAGCAUGUUUCAGCAGUAAAACAAUAUGCAAUUUUAUAAAAUAGGCUAAUAGGUUGUGUUUGAAAAACUGGGAUAAAUAUGCAUCAAAGGGUGAGAUUGGACUUGCCAUCCUCAAAGCCUUCCGGGAGUACUUGCUCGCGGUGCUAGUCUUUGGGCUCGGGCUCGUGGUCAAACUCCUACUUGUGCACUCCGCGAUCUAUGACACACACAAUCGGGCACACAAUAAAUAAAAGGAAAAUAACAUUUUACCCGUUGAGCUUGAACAAAGAACGGGAACGAAAAUCAGUUUCAUGGAAUUUGGAGAUGACUCAACGGGAAUAUAUUGGAGGAUGUUGUGGUCAAAUUUGGGAUUAAUUGGAGGAAGUUUGGCGUAUGAAAUGAUGAGAUAACCGUGUAUUAGAGGCUUAAAACAAGGCUUAGGACUAAACUACGAGAACCAGGGACCUGGUUGUAAAUAUUUUUGGGAGGUGGAAGGGCUUAUCUGCGAGAGAAUCUUUGAGAGAGGUAGGAGGGCUGUUUCACGAAUAGGAAGAAGUAGGAGGUUAGAUCGAAAUUGGAGGAUUUCUUCUUCCUCCGUACCGUGCGUUAUAGAGAGUUGGGGGAUGGGCGCCCCGACGGCGGCCGGCUGGCCUAGGCUCGCCGGCGGCAAGGCCCAUGGCGGGGGAAGGAAGAGGAGGGCAAGGGGACUCCAUUUGGGCCCUCACCUUGUGCGGCUGGCGACGGGAGAGGGGGGCACCGGUGGUGGACAGGAAAGCGGCGGUGCUCCUGCGAGGGCAGCGAACUGGGUGGCGCGCAAGGAGGGCUAGUGGCUUGGGAGGUAGGACACGGUGGUGGCGAAGCUCCGGGCGUCGGCUCCCCUUUUAUAGGUGGCAGGAGAGAGCGGGUGUAACAACUCUACCUUAAUUAGGUAUAGUUAAACUUGAGCAAGUCAUUAGUCACUAAGUAAAAGAGGUGAAAUGUUCAAGUUGCCCCUAAAAAGCCCUUUUUGGAGUUAAAUAGAAAACAUAAGUUUUUAUAUACAAACCUAAGAUUUUGCCCAAAUAAGAGUUGUAAAACUUUUAAUUUCAAACAACUUUUAUUAAUAACACUUUGGCUAAUUCGGAGUCGGAAAAGGUCAAAAAACCAGAUUCAAAUCAGGAGUAUAUCAAAACCCUACAAAUGACUUGUCAUGGAAUUCAUGUUUUUUCUCAAAUUUGUAAUCGGUUAUCUCACGAUUCUAUAUCUAACCUCAAGCCAGACCUUAAAUAUAAGUUGUAGCUCCUUGAGUGUAUUACAACUUUCUUACACUGACCUAGGUCCAAAUCGUAACCAAACCUGCUUAAAAACUUGGCCAAAAUUGUGUAAAACAGUCAACUCAGCCUUUUUGCAUUCCAGCGCUAAGUCUGGAAAACAUCCAGAGCGCGCAUUUUGGCGAGCCUGUUCCUCCAAAAAUCUGAACUGAACUCAAAAAAAAGUCCUUAAUAUAAGUUGGAGUCCUAAGACCGAAGAACGUUUCCUUCAAUUAUACUUUUACCUGAUUCAAAUGGGAAGCUACUCAAAAUCUGAACCAAAGUUGGCCAAAAUGUUGAAAAACAGCAAAACCGAGAUCUGCCUUCAGUCCCCGAAGGCUGGCGUUCUGCCAAACUUUGCAACUCCAUAGUUUCAAAUUCGUCUCAUUUUCAAGCAAACUCCUUUUGUAAAGUUUGAAGCCGGAUGUUAGGUCUACAAGUUUUACUUUUAGAGUUUCACGAGUUCUUUUGAAAAGUUUGGAGAAAAAGGCCCUAAAACUGGCCCUGUUUGGCUGCACCGAGGAGCACCCCGCCCCGCGCGCGCCCGGAGCGCGCCCGCACGUUCGCCCGUGCACCACUGGCCACGUGGCCGCUGUCCACUGGCGAGCUCGCCCUCGCCCAACCGGCCGCUGCGACAAGACCGCUCACGCGCCCGGCUGCCCAGUAGGCGAGCGCGCUUAUCCCGCCCCUGGCGUCACGCAUCUUUUUGCUCCAUCCCGAGCAAGCUCCGUCCGCUGGAGGACGCCACACUGCCACCUCGGACCGGCCAAGCUCCGACUGCCUAUUGCCGCCCGGACAGCGACCGCACGUGCGCCUCGCUCCGCCAAGCCCGGUCGCGGCAAAGCCGUGCUUGCACGACUCGUUUUCCCCAAGGCCAAUGACCGGGAGAUCCUAUCCCGCAGUCUCCACGCCCCGGCCAAUGGCAUCACUGCCAAUGGAGCACCGGCCCGCAGCCCACCGAGCCCCCCCAAUCCUAUCCGCCCGUGUCUGAAGCUCCGCCUCACUACCCCGCACCUCCCUGGCCCUAUAUAAGGACUUAUGGCGCUGCCUACACCACCGCACCACCCCGCACCUCGCUGACACCACCGCUCGCUCCGCCACACCACCACACACGUCUCUAAGCGACUUGUUGCCCUCCUGGAGCCCCGCCGUCGCCGAAACUUUGCCGGGACCCCACCACCGAAGCCGCUUCCGUCCCCAAGCCGUUCCGCCGCCGCCGAACCUGCUCCACCACCAUAACCUCCGCCAAUUGACCCUAGGUGAGCCCGCGCUCCUCCCCGAUAACAUGUUGCCUUGGCUCGAGCCUCACCUCGCUGGAAUCGGGCGAAGAUCGCCGCCGGCCGCCGCGAGGACCUACCUGUGUCAUUUACCUUCUUCCAGGGGUCUUAGCGCAAGAACUAGGGACCCUUGCAUAAUUAAACCGUAAACCCGAGGGCUAGUUUGUAAGUUGUUUUCGGUUUAUUGUUUUAAAUCGGCAAAAAAUAGGAUAAAAAUUUGUAAAUGCACCAUAAAUUGUAGAAAAAUCGGAAAAAUGCCAAACCACUUUUGUUGAACUGAGUGAACUGUCUAGUUUCAUACAAAAAUAAUCUUGUCCAUGUUACUAUUGGAAAUAAUACCCAAUAGUUUUAUUUCUUGCUUCGGUCUUUUAAAUCAUAGUAAAUCGAAGAAAAAUGCUAAAAAGGUAAAUCCAACUAUGUGGUGUAUGUUUUAAGUAGUAGAAGCUCAAAAAAAAUACUUAGGUCUCUGGAGUAGAACUUUAAAUCACUGUUUUAACCUUAUAAUUGAAAUCUUGGGUUAAAUCUUUCUUUUUGCAUAAGUUUUAAUCCAGAGCUAAGAAAAAUGUGAAACCACUUGGAGUAGCUUAGUUUUGAAGUUUAGUUUGUAGGAAAAAUAUGGAACCUAGUCAGAAACAGAAGGAAACCCACCUUCCUUUAUAGAGCAAGAUAAAUAGGAGGAAAAUAUAGGAAAUAGAUGUCCUUCUCUAAAAAUCAUGAAAAUUCACCAAAGUCUCUAUAAGCCACCUUCAAUCUACUGCUAAAUUUUCACCCUCAGAAUCAUUUUAGGUUUUGAGAUAAAAAUGGUUAAGUGCAUGCUACCCUUGGUGGUAAAAUACUUUUAAUUCUUUUUGUGGUAGUCCAAUGGAUCUCAAAUUUUUACAGUAACUCACUGAUGACAUAAGUAAGGUGCUGUAAUUUUCUCAGUGCCUUAUGUUGUUGUUUGCUUGUGGAACCAAAUUUUGGAUAAGGACUCGGUUUAAGUGAGUAAAGAAUGUAAGUCCUAAUAAGCCUAAUUAGUAAUUUUUGGAAGAGGUAUAAAAAAAACAUUCAGAAGUAAAUAAGUCUCCAAAUGAACCCCGACAACUCUAACAACGACCCCACCUUCCUUAUGCAACUCUAAGUUGUAAGAAUCUUAUAUAUGUACACAAUUGCCACCAAAGUCAACCUCUAGUUUAAACCACAACCCACCUUACUUUAUGAAGUUAAUGAAAGUUACAACCUUGUUUAGGUGAAUGUGGCCAAAAUGCACCUUUCCUUCUAGUAAUAAGUCAUGCCUUGCAUCAUUCGUGCAAAAGCAUGGAAAAAUCUAAACUCUUUGCAUGUGCAUGUCGUGUAGAAGCUAAUAUCGCCGAUGGAACCUACAAGCUCCACCCUAUGCUGGAAGAGGAACCCACCGCAGAGCUACAUCACGCGGAAGUUGAGCACGAGCUAGAUCAAGACCCCAAAGAACCACUAACUUUUCCUGAAGGCAAGCCCCGGUGCAUGCUUCCCUAUUUAAAAUUGAUGCAAAUAUGUUGAUGCUUAUGAUUAUGCAUUUACGUUGUAGGAGUUGAUUGAAACCAUAGAUGCAUGAACGUAGUACCUUAUUUUGAUCACUAGUUGCUAAGGUCGAGUAGUUGUUGUGCUAAAUAGGGCUCGGUAAAAGUCGAGUGAUUGUCUGUCACUCGCGAGUUAUAGGAGUUGUGUGAUUACUCUUUCUACAACUAUAAGGAUGACGGACGGAACCGGGAAUGAUUCCGAUGUGGUGGUUUGCCCCGUCUGUUUAGCAAUGAACAUGCUAAGGUCGAAACGUGUCGGCGUUCGUGAUCAAGUGUCUAAAAGUACUAAUCUCAUACCUAGUAUGGAAUAGGAAAGCCUAGUACCUGAUUGAACUGGGGCGUGUCAUACCCCCCUGCUGUCCUUGGAACAUCGUUCCCAUGGUGCAUCAUGUGGGUGCAAGUGCGGUCACAGUACAGUAGAGGUCGGGACUAUGGAGCAUUUUAUGCCAAAGGAAGUUUGGACCUGACACAUGCCUAAGCGAUCGACGGAGACGGCUGACAAAUGAAGCAACCCUUUGUGAUGCACGGAUGUCAUGAGAUUAGAAUCGCCAUGCAUGGUUAAUAAAUUUGAAUCGAUUCGUCUGCCUCUCACAGUUUGGGACUACUUGAUCGCUAUUCUGCACUAAGUAAAGAUGGAACUUGAGGAUGUUAAACUUGAUGUUUGAUCUCUAGUUGUUUGGAAACAAUGCUUGCUUAGUAUAAGCUGCUAAUCUAGACUGGUUAAUAAACUUAGAACUUGAACUAAAAUAUUGAAAGUAAGGACCAAUUGUAGACACUUUUGGCAAAACAAACCCACAGUAAAAAAGUCUUGCAUGUCUAGGAGUUGGUGAACUAGCUAUCACCUGUCGGGUCAGUCUUGUUGAGUAUUAGUUGCUCAGCCUUGUUGGUGGCUUAACUUUUUAGGUAAUGUCAAUAGUGUGGUUGCUGGCACUACUUGGCCGACCCAGCUCCCUCCGGGUUGGACAGUCGAGUGGGAUCCCUCCUCGGACGGCGAGGGCAGGGAUCAUUGAUGUCAUGAUCGGCUUCAUCAUGAUAUCGUGUAUCGACGUUUAGCUUCCGCUUGUUCUACAUCUUCGUUGUUUAUCACCUUGCAAACUUGUCUGAAUUUCAAAAACUCUGAUGUAAUAAAUUAUUGAACUAUGUUAAUGUAAUGGGAAUGUUGUAAUCUCUGUGCCCACUCACCUUCAUGUGAGCAAUGCUUCUCGAUCCUGAGUAAGUGGUUUAUCGGAUGAAAUCCGACACUCGAUCAAGUUGACUUGCUUAAAGUGCAUGAUCGCGUGCCAGGCGACUUAAGUGCAUUUUAGUCAGGUUAAUUUGGGCAGUUCCACCACAGCGGGGCGCCGGCCGACGGUGUAGGGGUCGGGGUCGGUGAGCAGCGUUAAUGGCGGCCGAGAUUCUCAGCCAGCACAGGGUGGUGGCGUGGCGAGGUGGAGUUCUGCGUGGAUGGCAUGGUGGGAUCGGGCUCGUGCGGCGAGGAGCAUAGUGGCGAAGGCCGACGUGGGGAGGCACGCCAGGGGGAGGGCACUGGCCGGCGCGUCUCGUCGGCACACGCGGGAAGCCGAGGCAAGAGGCGAGGCCUGUGGGGCUAGGGGAGGGGGCCCGGGGUGGUCAAGCGCUAGGGAAGGAGCAGGCGCCAGGGGAGGGGCCGGUGGCGCUGUGCGGUGCGCAGGGAGGAAACAGGCGCAUGCGGCUAGGAAGAAGAAAGAAAAAAGGAGGAAGGAAGAAGAAGAAAGGAAGAAAGAGAAGGAAGAAAAAGAAAAGAGAAAAAGGAAUAUGGGAAAAUGAGAAAAAGAAAGGGAGAGUCGGCGGUGAUUGUGGAAAGCGGUCGGAGCACGCGUGGCGGUUUGUCGACCGGCACACGGCAGAAUUUGCGGAGAGGAUAAAAAAAAUGAUGGUUAUCGGCUUUUGGUGCCAGGACGGUGAAAUCGCCGGGAAGGUGGGAUUUUCAGGAGCUCAACGGUAAAAAGAUUUUGAAAACAACUUUUUAGCGGGUGAUUUAAGUUGGUGAUUUUCACGGAUGUUACACCUUGAGAUUUUAUUUUCCAACAUUAGUAUAUUCAGAAUUUCAGAUAGAUUUAUUUGCGGAUGCAGAAAGGUCUUGGGUCCAUCCCAUUUCUUGAGCUGAUCUGCAUCCCAGUUCUGAAAGCGUUGAGUCUGAACGAAGCGCUGCUUGCUGCAGCUUCCAGCUUACUGCUUACUGCUGGCAUGGCAUCGACCUCCAGCAAGGACUCACCCGAUGCAAGGGCGGGCACUUCCAGGUGUUACUCGUUAUAGUGUGUUAAGGUUGUUGACCUCCAUUGUUUAUGCCUGUCUCUUAAUCUAGAUGAUCCGAAGAUUUGUUAAACUGACUGGCAACCUCACAUAAGAUCUCUAUUGAGCUCCGACAAACUGUGAUUCCCUUAAAUGUCAAGUACGCACCUACCGGCCGUUGACUCAGUGUCCUACUCAGCCUGCGUGCGGCGUGCCUGCAAUACCGCUUCACAUCACCGUCUUUUAUUUUGCGUUUGACUUUGCCCAUAUUUCUACGCACGUUUUAGGUAGCGUUCGGUUGGAGAGCGAGGUAUGAUGGAACGAUUGAUUUUAGGAAUGUGAUGGUUUCAUGUUCAAUGUUUAGUUAGAGGGAUGGAACAGUUCCGUUUUUUUGGUUUGCUCCGUUAACCACCAUUAUGUGGGACCUGCCUGUCAGUCACCCCACCCUCUUCUCCUCCUCUAAUCUUCUCCACCAGAGCGCACCAAGCUCCCAUCGGACCUCGGCCAUGGCUCGGCCUCCGCCCCCUUCUCCAGUGCCGCGGGCUCCACCUCCACGACGCCGGGCGCUGCCCUUCCCGUGUCGCUGGGCUCCGUCCCUCGCGCCGUCGGGCUCCCAACCUCCCUGACCAUGGUUCCUCCCUUCCACCUUCUUCCUUCUCCGUUACACCUUCUCAAUCCGGUCUCCGCCCCACACCGGUCGCUGCCAUCCUGAGCCUUGCCACCCCUUACCACACGGCAGGAACCACCCUCCGCCCCCGCAGCGCCAGACGCCGCCCUACCCUGCCGCUGGAGCUCCGUCCAAGCUUGGAUCCGCACCAUCAGCGCUCAAUUCUUCACUCCUACGCCACCCAAGCUCCAUCCCCCUUGCCGCCCUGAGCUCCUGCCACGCGCAGCACCACGUCCUUAGCUCCUUGCUCGAGUCACAGGAUGAGACGCCGUCGAACUGGGACGGCUCGGUCCACUCGAUUUUGCGUGAUCGAGCGGAGCAAACAUUUGCUCACUAGGAUGGCUCCAUCCCUCCGCUCCUGAACCAAACAUAGAAUGGAACGACUCCAUCCCACUCCGCUCCUCAACCACACUACCUUAGACACAACAAUGGAGGUCAACGAAGUUCUGGAUCAUCGAAAGGUUAUACUUCUCUGAUCAAUUGUUUUGCCAGUGAUGUUCGCUACGAACAUAUGCUGCGCAGUAACAAGGAUUUGCAUGUUUAUUACUAGUACUUGUUGCUAUAUGUGCCGGACAGUGGCGGGGCCAGGAAAAAAAAUUGUAAGUGGGACGACUUCUAACGUGAAAGUAAAUCAAAAGAAAAAACGUACGGCAUGUACACCGAUUCACAGUGCAUUCACAUAUGGCAUUUGCACGAAUUCAUGCCUUAUUAACGCAAGUGACGUUUUAAGAUGUUACCUCAAAAUUAAAAAAAUAAAUUAAUAGUUAUUAUGUCGUACAUAGAAGAAUAUAAAAAAUAAAAAUGGAUGAACCUCCAGAUUGUGCAAAGAUCAAUUAGCGGGUGUGGAAAAUACAUUAUUCACAAGCUAGCAGGCAGCAUGACGAGAUCUAGGAUUCAUGUGUCCAGCAAAGAAGGGAUUUGAGAAAUUACAGCAGGACAAGAAAAUGGAGUACAAACAGAACGACAUUCUCACCCAUUGCCGUUGUCUACAGGUUGUGGUCUAGGGCUAGGAGGGUUUGGGAGCAUCGAGCACCGCCGAACUGAAGGAAUCGGAUGGGGAAUGGCUUGCAAUCGGGCAUGAUUUAGGUUGGGCACGUGGAGGUCAACGCUGACCGGCCCGUAUCAUAUCAUUAAUUAAUAAACUAGUCCUCAUAUAGCAUGCCCUUUCCUGAUUAAAAUAUAUAUAACUGGCCGGUUGUGCCCAAUCGGCAAAGGUGGUGGGCAGCUCCCCAUGUGAUGCUGUGAUGCUGUGUGAACGAAGACGGCAGUCAGGUGGUCUUGAUUCAAGGCGCCCUACGUGACCUUGUACUGGCGACGGCGAGAUGCUGUUCCUCUUCCGAUCCUCGGGAGGCAAACGUACGCGUCCAUGAGGUAGGAGCCUUAUUGGUGGGUGUGGCCGGCGUGAACCAGCCGGUGGAUGAGCAACGGCUGAAGGCCAACGAGAACGGUGGGUCCAUCCUCCACGACGCUACUGAAGCAGCUUAUUGUUGUGAAGGUUCCCAAAGCAGAGUGGCAGCAUUACAUUCCGCUAACAUUCAAAUCGAAAUUAAGAUCCUAUGACAGUCGAAUUUGAAAAAAAGAUCAUAUGAAAUAGUGUGAACCGGCCGCGAGAGCAGGAUUGCACAUUUACACUCCUCCAAAGUUUGGCCGUAGAUGAUGGUAAUCGACGAACGACGACGGACAUUCCACACGAAGCUUCCUCGAUCCUUGUGGCGGGUGGAUCCGUGAUCUUUCCUCCUGUGCGCCUGGAGAGAGAGGUAACGUUAACGCGCUAGGCGCUACGCAAGCUAGCCACAUUUUCAUCCGGCCCCAGUCCCCGGCCGCCAGCUCUCCACGUGUCCUCCCAAGUAGCCAGCCCAUCCCUAUCAACUAGGCAAUCACCCGGGUGUUUCUCAUGGAAGCAUCACCCAAGCAAUCUGAUUUGCUGAAACACUUGAUUUUGAGGCAGACAAAAUUCAGGUGCUGGCAGAGGUGCUGUCACCUGAAUAUCAACACCAUCAGAUUUGGAUCAAACGGUGGAAAAUAAUUGCUAGAAAAAACAACAUAGAAACAACUAUGCUGAGAACAUAGUAAACAAACUGAUGCAGAAAAGAGGAGGAAAAUUAACAUGCAAAAUGCAAAAUUAACAACUCAACAAAUUUUUAUUAUAGUCAGUUAGAUAACAAAUUAUUUCUAAUGGUGAGAAACCCCUCAAAUGCAAAAAUACCAAUACAUAAAUUAAAAUUACAGUGUAAGUUACUUACUAAGUACUAAUAUAGUUAGGGCCUGUUUGGUUAGCAUUGCUUAUAAAUAAGCAACUUAUAUUUAAGCAAAUAAGUUGCUUAUGACCCAAACACCCUUGCUUAUAGACUUGCUUAUAAGUUGCUUAUGCAUAAGCAAAUAAGCAAGUUUUGAGUUGCUUAUAGUUGCUUAUGGAGCACUUUCCACCUCCUACCCUCAUUCUCUCUCCUCUCUCCCCUUUCUCUCUCCUCUAUCCCGGAACUACUCUGGCUAUCCCGGAACCACCCGCCGCCGCCGCCGCGCCGCCCGCCGCCGCCGCCACUGCGACGGCCGCCGCCGCCCCGUGCGCGGGGGACCGGGCCGAGGCGGACCGCUUCCUCCGCGCCGUCGACGACCUGCGCCGCCUCGCGCCGCCGUCGCCCGCGGCCGUCGGGAGCCCGCGCCGCCUCUCGUCGUCCUCGGGCUCCGCCGCCGCCCGCCUCCGCGCUCGCGCCCGCCGCCGCUCCCGCUCCCGCCCGCCGCCGCCGCCGCUCGCGCCCGCCGCGCCGCUCCCUCCCGCUGCUCGCUCCCGCCCGCCGCGCCGCUCCCUCCCGCUGCUCGCUCCCGCCCGCCGCGCCGCUCCCUCCCGCCACUCCCGCCGCGCCGCCCCCUCCUUCGCGAGUCGGAGGACGCCGGCGACGGGGACGGGGACGCGUACGGGGUGCGGCGGUGGUGGUGACGGGAGAGGGAGAAGGGGAGAUGGAAGAGGAGGAGGACGAGCAGGGGAACGAGGCGAGCCGGAGGAGGCAUUGGUAAUGGUUAGGGUAGUGGGAAAUGGGAUGGCAGGGGCAAAUAUGUCAUAUGCAAUCAGAUAAGCAACCCAAACCAAACACCUUGACUUAUAAAUAAGCAACUACAAAUAAGCAAAUAAGCAACUUAUAAAUAAGCAUCCAUAACCAAACAGGCCCUUACUAAUACAGUGUAAAAGAAUCCUAAUAUAUAGGGAAGCGCACGCACAGUAAUAGCGGAGUGAUGGGCUGCUCCUGCCAACUGGCUACGCGGCUGGGGAAAAAAUGCCUAGCUGGCUGCUCCUGCAUGGCAUGCGUCUGAGCAUCGGGGUCUGUGCGAAAAUGCAUCGCACAGCUGCGCUCUGCGCAGGUAGAGUGACGAGGACGGGAGAAACACCGGGGGUGACCUUUAGCUUUCCUUUUGGCCCUGAUAGCUUUCCUUUUAGGCCUACGGUUGAUGGACCCGAUUUAUCAAAGGGAUUUGCCCAAAUUCCGACAAGGAAUGUGGCUACCGGUCCUAAGUUACGUGCCGACGCGUUGGUUAAAAAAAAACGUACGUGCUGCUGUAUUGUCCCAUUCGGCCGUGUGUGAGACGGUGUCCAGUGGAGUCGACUAGAGUCAUCAGUAGAUUCUGUUCUAUAUAUACGCCAUUCAUUGUAUUCCGUCGUCGUCUCCUGACAUGUCGUGUACUGCUGCUGCAGAUCAACUGUGUACCCAUUUAAUAUAUAUAGUGAUAAAAGUUACAAGUGUUGUUGGCUCCUUGUGCUGCAUAAUACAUACGAAUAUAUGCAACUCUACCACGUUGACGUAAGUAAUUAAUUUGCAUGUUAUUCCCUCUCCCUCAACCAUUCAUUUUAGUUUUUUAUACAUAAUCAUCUUUUAAUACAUAUCAAAAAAUUACGUAUUUAAAAAAGUCAAGAUGGAGUAGUUACGUUCAAAUACAAGUGGGGAAAGUAAAAAAAAUACAAUUACAAGUAGUUACAUAUUCAUAUCGCAUAUUUGAUCUCAACACUAUACAAUAAUUAAAUACUGAUAUGAACUGUACAUUGAUCUCAGUACUAUACAAUAAUUAAAUACUAACAUGAACUGUACAUUGUGAGGGACUGUUUCAUUGUAAUACCUCUGACUUUUCAAAUUCUCUCCUUAUGACUUGUUACUUUUCCUUUUGGGCCCCUAUAGUUGAUGGGACCUUUUGGGAUUGAUCUUGAUACUUUUCCUUUUGGGCCCCUGUAGUUGUUGAUGGGACCUUUUGGGGAAAAGCGUCACCCGCUGUUUCUCCUGUCCUCGUCCUAAAGUCGCGGGCCUAUAUAAAGCUGCUCUCCUUCCCAGCAAAGCAUCGACUUCAACAGGCUGCAGCCACUGCACAAAGCAAGCAAGCUACACCAAGCUAGGAGCCUAGGAUGGUGACGCUCAUGAGCCUCCAGGCAAGACGGGAGGGGCUGGUGCAGGGAAACGACGACGGCGUCGUCGACCGCAACGCAACCAGCUGGUUCCCCGCGGCGCUGGGGCUUGCAGGCCUCGCCACCGCUUCCUCGGCCAUCACCGCCGCCAUGUCCAAGCGGCCGGCGGCGCUCCAAGGGACGAACGGCUCCUACUACCUCCUCGCCCUCUCGGGGCUCUUCUACGCGGGGGUCGCAGAGCUCGGCGGCGCCGUCUGGGUGAUGGCCGACCCCCGCGCGCGCGCCGCUGUCGGGAGGAGGCUCGUGUACGCGUCCCUCGCCCCGCUGACGGCGGCAGCCGGCCUGGCGGCGGCCACGCUCUUAUGGUGAAGUUUCUGCCACGCGCCGCGCGCGCAGCAGGUACGUAGUGCGUGCGGUCGGCACCAUUGCCAUUGCCACGCUCUUGUGUCCAGAUACAAUAAGUUGGUGAUGACUAAGUUCUUAGUCUCCAUGAUGUGUCCUACGUGUUUCUAUAUCCAUUAUCUGAAAAAAAAAACCGUACGUGCUGCUGUAUUGUUCCAUUCGGCCGUGUGUGAGACGGUGUCCAGUGGAGUCGAAUAGAGUCAUCAGUAGAUUCUGUUCUAUAUAUACGCCAUUCAUCGUAUUUCAUCGUCGUCUCCUGACAUGUCGUGUGCUGCUGCUGCAGAUCAACUGUGUACCCAUUUAAUAUAUAUAGUGAUAAAAGUUACAAGUGUUGUUGGCUCCUU